GCGUGUAACUUACAGGUUGUGAGCUUGUUUUUGCAGAGGAACAAGGAUGAUGAGGCGAUGACACCGGUCCGACGCUCCAGCAGGCUGCGGAGUGUCAAGUCACCCGAGGCCGAGUCUAGUUAGUUAGUGCUCUGACUAACUACCAUUCAGGGCACCUAACUCGUCGUAGCUGCUGCUUGCCCAGUUCCACGCACCUUGUUAGACAGACACAGCUUUCUGCUGUCAUUUUCUGCAAAAUUGAUUGGUAACUAGUAGUAGGAUUUAUGUUUGUGGUUUGAGAUUGCUUAGAUCUGCAUAAGUGAUUGUGGACAAUUCCCUUGUAUUGCUUCUCUGAUUGAGAUGAAUAUUCUUAUCAAACUCUGCUGGUGUUGUGUUUCAUACUGAGAGUUGAUCCCAAUACAUUAGAACUAUUUUUUAAUGGUUGUGCUUCAAGUGUAAUGCUGUGUGGACAAGGCAUCAUCUGUUGCUUUGUGACUUUGUUUAGCCCUUCUAUAUUCAUAUUACUCCCUCUGAGUAUUAGUUUACCGAGGGAGUUUUCUUAAUAUGCCGAAAGUAUGUAACCUUUUCACACGAAGGAUGCGAGAUUUUGAAGAAUUCCUUCCUGUCAUGAAACAUACGAACAAAGUAAAAUGUUAAUCUAGACAAAACAGCUGAUUUAGCGUUGUCAGGUGGGCACGUUUGUCACCUAUCUCCAUAGUAGUUUGGACUUGACAUCAAAACUGUAUGUGUGCAUCUUGUAUUUCUCGUUUGCAAAAUACGCAAUACUGUGAUUUUCAAGCAUAUACUCCCUCCGUUCCCAAAUACUUUCUAGUCAUUUCAAAUGGACUCAACAUACGGAUGUAUGUAGACAUAUUUUAAAGUGUAGAUUCACUCAUUUUGCGCCGUAUGUAGUCACUUGUUGAAAUCUCUACAAAGACAAGUAUUUAGGAACGGAGGGAGUAGAAUCUCUCCUCUAUUUGCCUCACUUUCAGAGGAUUUUAACGCUUUCGAACUGUGCAUCAGCAAAGUUUCUAACAUGGGUAAUAAAGAAAUGACUAUUGCAUUGUUUGAAGCUUCUAUAAGAACCAGGCAGCGAAUCAAUGAACCGGCGGUCUUAUCGAUAAAAACCCACGACAACCUUACCGGUUUGGUCACCGGUCCAAUCUUUAAAAUAUACUCGAUAGUACAAUGGAAAGACAACAAGACACAAGACGACUGUCAAAAACUAAAAUUGCAUGGAAAGACAACAAGACACAACAAGACACAAGACAACAAGUCUGUAAGAGCUUGAAAAAUACACCAAAAUGCAUUGAACCAACGGUAAGGGGGACGGACACAUGCAAAUGCCCUCCUCAUAUAUCAGGCUUUGAAGACCGCAAUAGCCACUCGUCGUUGAGGCAUCACUCCACACGGCACAUACUUGAAAUCCUUCAUAACCAGUCCAAAGGCUUGGAGAAACUGGGAUAUGCCACAAAACAACCAUCACCAUCACCGUCGUCACCUCGUCGUUGCCGCCGGAGAAACGAAAACGUAAGGGAAACAAGAAUAUACUUGACCUAAAAAAAUGAAAGGUACGGGUCCCCACUCCUCUGGCAGCCGCCGAACAGCCGGGCAGGAAAGAGAUUCCAAAGCCCCCUGCUUGCAAAUUGUCGAGAUUCACAUACUUCGUUGCAUGUUGGUAGCACUUGUUUAAAAAUGAUUGUACACGAAAUGGUGUAUCACCUACAAACAACAUGUCGACUAUGAAAUGAUAGAGCGUCCAACCCCUGAUGUCUGAACCUUUUUUUUAUCGCACACCAAUCUUUUACUCCCUCCGAAUGCUCUUAUAUUAUGGGAAGGAGGGAGUAUUUUUUUUUUACAAUCAUUAUCACGCACCAAUCACUAGCAAAAGAAGUGAUAAAAAAGAACUCAUGAAAAAAGGACAAUUUGCUUUGGGAAAAGCGGGUAGCAAUCAGAGGCGGGAAAAAAAACUCAAACGGCCGGCCGUCCCCACAUGCCAGGGACAGCCCGCCCAAUCCGUCUUCCACUUGCCAGGUGGGAGUGGGACCCACCUGUCAUUGGCGCCACCACCCUGCGCAGAGCCACACUAUACUUCGUCGCAGGAAGGAGUCCGCCCCUCGCAUCGUCCGCCCACCACCAUCGCCGCCGCCGCCGCCUCGGAAACCCUAGGCCCGAUGGCCACCUCCGCCGCCGCCAGCUCGUUCCCCUCCUACCUCUCCCCGCCCCCCGCCUCCCGCCGCAGCGGGGCCCGUCCGGCCCUGGCGGCGGCGGCGGCGGAGGGGGUGAUGGACGUGGUGUCGGAGGCGGAGCUGAGGGAGAAGGGGUUCAUGGGCAUGCGGAAGACGAAGCUCGUGUGCACGGUGGGCCCGGCGUGCGUGGACGCGCUGCCGGCGCUGGCGCGCGGCGGGAUGGGCGUGGCGCGGGUCAACCUCUGCCACGGCGGCCGCGACUGGCACCGCGCCGCCAUGCGCGAGGUGCGGAGGCUCAACGACGAGGAGGGCUUCUGCGUCUCCCUCAUGGUCGACACCGAGGGCUCCCAGCUCCUCGUCGCCGACCACGGCGGCGCCGCCUCCGUCAAGGCCGAGGUAUGCCGUGCCGGGCAUGCUGUUUUCUGCAGCUGCGUCAGUCAGAUUCAGGCGCUACGCAUGGGUGUGCUCGUGCCGUGGUUUUUACUUUGUUGUGCUGUGUUUGACUUUUGCGCUGCUGUGGAGUAAUCUGAUCAGGGAUCGUGCAGUGACCAGAAGUAAAAAAUUAUACUCGAUCUAGGAGAAGGUCAUAUUAAUCUCUAGUCUUGUCUGGGGAAUUGGGACUCAGUUUUAGACAGCACCACUAAGCUACUGACAAUAUUCUGCGACAGCAUCACUAGAUUCUCGAAAUUUGAUUAUGGUACUCCCUCCGGUCCUUUUUACUCUGCAUAUUAGGUUUGACCGAAGUCAAUCUCAUUCAACUUUGACCAAGUUUAUACAAAAAAUUAUAGACAUUCACAUAACAACACCAAUAUCAUUAGAUUCAUCUUAGAAUAUAUUUUCAUAUUAUAUUUAUUACAUAUUAUAGAUGCUAAUAAUUUCUAAUAUAAAUUUGGUCAAACUUAGCAAAGUUUGACUUUCAGCAAAUCCAAUGUGCAGAGUAAAAAGGACCGGAGGGAGUAAUAAGGAAGUUUGUUUCGCUCACUAAGUGGUAACUGCACAUGAUGACUAAUAAGAGAAACAAACUGUAAUGAGAUUUUUUUUUGGAGAAAGUCAUAUUAAUCUCUAGUUUUGUCUGGGGAAUUGGGACUCAGUUUGGUAGAUAGCAUCACUAAGCCACCGACAAUAUUCUGCGACAACAUCACCAGAUUCUUGAAAUGUGAUUAUGGUAAUAAGGAAGUUUGUUUCGCUCACUAAGUGGUAAGUGCACAUGAUGACUAAUAAGAGAAACAAACUGUAAUGAGUUCCAUAAGAAACUGUACCGAGAAACAAAUUUGCAUCCAUCAGAUUCGGGCGCUACAUAUGGGUGUGCUGGUUUCGUGGUUUGUACUGUGUUUGACUUUCUGCUGUGGGGUAGUCUGAUCACAGAUCAUGCAGUAACCAGAACUCCAGAAGUAAAAGGUUCUACUCGAUCUACGAGAAAUCGGGGCUCAGUUUGGUAGACAAUAUCGCUAAGCCACAGACAAUAUUCUGCGAUAACCGAGCCGUAAUUUUCUUUUUGUGUAACAACAACUCAUUGUGUCGCCAAACACAUUGGCAGUAACUAUCAUGUUGUGAAAAUAGAGUCCAAGAUCAAACAAUUGAUAUUCAGUAUACAGGCACUAUGUCUAUGCUUGCUGAUCUUCUCACUAAAGGCUACCAGCAUGUCUCUUUUGAACACAUAUUGCUGGCAUGUGCCUAGUGGGAAUCCUAUAAUUAUUGGUCAUUGGACAGUCAUGAUAACGAGAUUCUCAAAAUUCGAUUAUGGAAAUAAGAAAGUUUGUUUCCCUCAUCAAUUGCACAGGAUGACUAAUAAUAAAAGAAACAAACUGUAAUGAGGGCCAUAAGAAGGUAGUAUGGCUAUACAGUAUACACACAUAAAACCCCUAAAUACCAUAAGGUAGUUCGGCCAUAAUCUACUCACAUCAAUAUGAAUUAACCUGAGUUUGGCGAAGCCAUCUUUCUAGUCAAUGUAGUAGAAGAAGAUGAGCCGAUCACGAACCUGGUGAGUUUGCUGACAGUGUGGCUAUUUCAAGUCAAUGGAAAGCACUCUCCAGAUUGGUUUGGAGUGAUGCAAGAUUGGGAGCACUUGUAACCUUGAUUAAUUUUGUGGUUUCAAGUCCAGGGCCACCUAUUCCAUGCUCAUUAAUUAAUUAGUUAAUCCCCAAUGACAUUUUUAAUCUCACAAUUACUUAUGCUACCUUUUAGGUCAUAGUUAACUUAGUCAUUUGAUUAAAUUAUCAUCUAACAGUGGGAUCCCGACAUCCCGUGCCACUGUGACAAUAUGUGAUUUGAUUAGAUUGACAGCAUUUUGUUAGGAUGAUCAUUAGUUGGGUGCUAGCCUUCAAAAUAAUUAAUUGGGUGUUUCUGGGUGAAGAGAUCCUUUUUGUGGUUGGUUACCUUUGCUGGCUGUUGUACACACAUAUGCUUAAUAUAUGUUUCGCUUAUUUAAUGUAUAACUUGAUUAGUUUAUAGAACUUUAUGAUUUGAUAGUGGCCCCUCUCCUUUUAUGAUAAACAAAAAUAGUAGUCGUUUCGGUGCCUGCAUGUUAUCGGGAAACAGGAGUAUCAAUCAGUUUUGCUAGUCAUACAUUGAACAGCACACUAUUUUCAUGCUAGCUUAGAUUGAGUGGGUGUUUUACUAUAAGUUGGACUGUUUGAUUCUGAGCUCCUGGUGAAAAAAAGUGAAUUGUACAGUUGUCCUGGAUGACAGGCCAGUCUGAGGGUUUGACAUCACCUGUGAUCUAUAAUUAUAUUUAUACUUAAAUUUUCAGUAGAAGGUACAAUUGUAUUAUUUCCCAAAGCAUCGAUCUGCAUUGUAAGAAAGAAAGAGAACGUUGUGUUUUCUCAACAUAUGUUUUAGUCCUCAAUGCCUUGUCUUUCAGUGAAGAUGGAAAUCCUGAUAUCUUUUCUUUCUUUGAUGGUGCCGCAGGAUUGCUCUGAAUGGUUAUUUACCAGUAAAAAAACCGAUAAAGUUUGCCCAUUCACAAUGCACGUGAACUUUGAUAAGUUUUCUGAAGGUCUGAAGAUGAACAUAAGUUGGUUGUUGGUUGUCCAUAAUAUGAAUUUUAAGAACAGCUUAUUCACAAUAUAGUUGCUGCACUUUACAGGCAUUCUAGUUGGUGAUGAGCUUGUCAUAGAUGGUGGAAUGGCAACAUUUGAAGUUACAGAGAAGAUCGGAAGUGAUCUGCGCUGUAAGUGCACAGACCCAGGUUUGCUUCUUCCUCGAGCCAAGUUGUCAUUCUGGAGGGACGGAAAAUUAGUUGAAAGGAACUUUGGGCUUCCUACAUUAUCCACAAAGGUUAACUUAUAAUGCAACACUUAUUAUUCUUGUAGCUCUUGUAUUUCAUUUUUGAUAGUUUCAUUUUAAUUUUCUCACUCAUUAAGAACAAACCAUAUGUUUGGUCAUUAUCAGUUUGAUAUCUAGCAUGACAAUUUUUUUGGCUAAUAUUCUUAAAUUUUUAUUCUUACAUUACUUACUGAAACUAGUAUCUUCUUGCUUGCUAACUGCCUAUAUUGUAUUGUAGGAUUGGGCUGACAUUGAAUUUGGCAUAACUGAGGGAGUUGAUUGUAUUGCUCUUUCAUUUGUAAAGGAUGCUAAUGACAUUAAGUCCCUGAAAACGUACCUCUCCAGAAGAUCAUUAGAGUGAGCAGAACUGCAAUUCUUAAAGGACCUAAAUAUAAGUUGGUGAUACACAUAUUUGUUCCACAGAGGCGUCUGUAGUGUAAAAGUUGCUUAGAAUGUCUAGGAUUGUCCAAGUUAGAACUUCGAUCACAGAAAUUACCAGCAGCAGGAUUCUGACUUCUGAGCCUCUGACUGCUGUUGUACAGCUUCCAAUAAGUGCAGGAUUCUUUUGUAGUUUAGAGCAUGCUAUUUGCUAUAUCUAACUUGGAAAAUGUGAAAUGGCGUAGCAAUAGAAAUUGACGCCAUUGUUUGACGAUAGAGCAUAUAAAGUGGGAGUCUGUUAUUUAUCCAACUAAAAUGGCACUUUAGGACUUGUGCCUGUGAUACUGAUAUACGUCAAAACUUAGCAACUGGCACAGUUCAAUCCAUUAAAAGAUGGCAUACAUAUUCUUUAGGACUUAAGAGUUAUAUUACUGUUCAUUUUGUUGGGUAUCUGCUAUUGUAAUGCAAUCUACUUGUAUAACAGACACAUUAAGAUAUUUGCAAAGAUCGAGAGCCUGGAAUCUCUCAAGAACCUGAAAGACAUUGUAGAGGCAUCAGAUGGAGUCAUGGUUGCGCGUGGUGAUCUUGGAGUUCAGGUUCCUCUAGAACAAAUCCCAGCCAUCCAAGAGGCGAUUGUUGAAUUAUGUCGAAACCUGAACAAGCCUGUGAUAGUUGCUUCUCAGCUUCUGGAAUCAAUGGUUGAAUACCCAACGCCUACUCGUGCAGAGGUAACCUGAACUAAUUUUUAUGAAAUUUUGCUUCUCAAGACCUAAUUACUUUAGCCUUUUAUUCUCGCAUUCACUUGACGAACUCUCGUUGCCUGUAUUAAGGUGGCAGAUGUUUCUGAAGCAGUGCGGCAGUACGCAGACGCUAUAAUGCUGUCAGCUGAGUCUGCUAUAGGUGCAUUUCCCGAGAAAGCUCUAUCCGUCCUACGUGCUGCUAGUGAGCGGAUGGAAUCAUGGAGCCGCGAGGAGAACAUGCAAAGUCUUCUUCCGCAAUAUCAGCUUGCAAUCGCUCUGCCCGACCGGAUUUCGGAGCAGAUUUGCACCAGCGCUGUGGAAAUGGGUAUCUUGUUUUCUUGUGUAAAUAGACUCCAUCAUAUCCAAUCUCUAUUGUUCCAUCGAAAUUCACUUGUUGUGUUAUACUCCAUGCAGCAAACAACCUUGCCGUGGACGCCAUCUUCGUCUACACAAAGCAUGGCCACAUGGCGUCGCUCCUGUCACGCAACCGGCCCAACCCUCCCAUCUUUGCGUUCACCGAUGACUCCAACACAAGAAAGAGCAUGAACCUUUACUGGGGUGUGAUCCCGCUCCAGCUCCCGCUGUCGAACAGCAUGGACGACAACUUCAAGCAGACCAUCAAGCUCCUGAAGUCCAAGGGCUCGGUGAAACCUGGGGACUCCGUCUUGGUCGUUGCCGACUCGGAUCUGAACCAACCUUGUGCUGCUGCCACAUCAUCAGUGUACCAAUCCAUUCAGGUCCGCUUGGUGGACUAGGCUAGGCAUGAUUGAACUCGGAUAGCUGUCACUAUACCGAGGUUUUACGGCAAAUGUGCUAUAUAGAGUGAAGAACAGUUUGUGUAUUUGUGCAUGCAUUACGUGUUUUCGCUGUCCAGUGUGUGAGAUAUAUGAUCAUGUUGAUCUCCGUGAGAACGGUUACUGCCUUACACUUGUGUUUGUGACAAUUGCUGAUCCCUUGUGGAUGCUUUUUUUCUUUUUCUUUUUGAAGGUAGAAGUAUUGUUUGAUCUCCGUACUGUCUCAGAUGGUCCAGUUAAGCACAAAUUCUUGCCGUGUUAGUGCUAGAGUUCUAUCAGAUGAAUUUCAGUACUAAAUUACUGUGAGCAAAUACUAAUAAUUAUGAAUUAAGAGCCUUCUUUUGGAUAUUCUAAGACCUGUCUGCCACUCGUACCUCCUACAUAAACAAUUGAAAAAGCUAGGAUACGCACUUCGUUUUUGUUGCUCGUUCCAAAAUAUAAGAUGUUAAGCGUGCACUCAAACUUUCCCAUCAUCGAGCACUACCUAACGAAGGACUAGAAGAGCACCAAAGGGCAGAACAAAACAAAAACGGUGAAUUCAUAAUAGUGUCACGAAGCUUUCAUAGCUCAGUUGGUUAGAGCACCCGUUUAGUGAGCGGGAGGUCUUGAGUUCAACUCUCAAUGAAAGCAAAUUUAUUUCUUUUUUGCUCUUUUUGGAUGACCAUAACAAAUUUUCUGCCCGGUUGAGCUCUCAAUGAAAGCAAAUCGAAGUGAUUUUGCAUUUUCCACCGGUAUAAACAUUUCAGCCCAAAUGUUUCUUGUGUUUCCAAGUACCAAAGAAGAUUUUUUUGCUGAGCACAACUAUUUUUUUUCUUAUAUGCUUCGUGUUUUUCCACGCAUACCAGAACAUUUCACCCCAAAGUUUCUUUCAUUUUCCAAGUACCAAAGCAAAUUAUUUUGUUUUUUCCCUACAUACUUCAUGUUUUUUCACGCUUAAUGUCUCUUGUUUGCUUCCGUAUGGCAUAAGGGCAUGUCCAAUGCUGACCCGCAAAUGGACACGACAAAUGUGUGUUUUUAUGUCCAGACGUGGUCCGUAAACAUGAUGCGGGAGGUGCGCCAUGCAAUGUUAUUCACAAAUUAAUCCGGUUGGAAUGAGAGAAAGUAUGUGGGGACCAUGCAUGUGGUGGAGUAUUGUGCGGUCGUGUCCGGUAAGGAGGAGAGAGAGAAGAGGGGGACCAUGCAUGUGGUGGGAUAUCGUGUGGUGGUGUCCAGUUGGGAGAAGAGAGAGAAGAGGGAGACCCUGCAUGUGGUAGGAUAUUGUGCAUGUCCGGACUCCCGUAUAGCUCCCCCUCACUUUGACUCCGAUUUACCAAAAAAACAACGUUCGGAGCGCAAAUAGGGGUCCAUGUUCGAUGCCAAAAAUUAAUAAAAGUGAUCCGGACAACAUACAUCGGAGCUUUGCAGGUCUCCUUUGAAGAUGCCCUAACAUGAGUGAUUUCUCUUGUGAGAACACCCAUAGAGAUGCACAAUGCCCAAUACUAGCCCCCCUCGAAAUAUUGUUACUUUUCCAAAAAUGAAUAUGUAUUUUUUUGUGAAAUACCCAUAUCUAUAAUAAACAUCCAUCAAAAAGUACAAAACACCCUAAACAUAAUAAAAAAAUCAUGUCAAGGUCUUUGGACCACCGAACGACGAGUACCGUCGUCAUAACGAGCCGCUCAUGCGUCACUGUUACCGUUCUCAUACUAGAGUCGGCCAGACCUUGUCAAUGACAGUAGGGACCUCUUCGUGCACGUGACCCUAAGACCAACGUUCUCAUACCAGAGUCGGCCAGAUUUGUGAAUGUAAAAAAAAAUAUCCAAAAAGAACUGUCAGAAAUAAAAAAAUAAUCCAAAUAGAGCCUAAUUAAUCUCUUCAAACAGGCCGGUUGAGCCAAACCUGUUCAAUCCUGCAUAUGCAAACUAGUAAUGGCCUUGUUUGGGUGUUGGAAGGAACUGUUUGCUGUUUGGACUUAUUACUUGAAUUCUCAUCAUCAUUCCAUGGAAGACCAUUUAACCAAUGUUGUCUUCCUAAUGUUUCUUAUUUAAUCUUCCUAAUAUAGAUAGUAGAUGAUGUUGAUGAAAGCAGACAAUGCUUUCAUUUCUCAAAAAAAAAAAAAAACUGUGCUGUGGGUUGACCAUAUCUGAAUUUGUGUUCGCUGCCACAUGUCAGCUAUUUGCCUUCUAAAUUUAUGUACACAUAUUUUAAUCUUUCUUAUCAAUACAUCUGGAAUAGCAGUGCCAGUUUGAUCAUAUAUGGAUCUAUCUAAAUAAUGUACUUGCACAAGCUAGCUUUAACUACACAAGAGCAGCAACCCUGUCAUACAUAAAUUACGGAAAAAUAAUCAUUAUAGCAUGAUCAUGAAAAUAGACCGAUUCAUUUAACAAGAACACUGACAUAGUCGUUGGUUAGGGGGCAACUCAAAUGGCAACAACAGAAGCCUAGAAGUAGUGUAAAUAAUCUUGGGGUUGUAGGAAAAGGCUUCAGAUGGGGUAAUGUCAGGCCUCCGCUGAAUGCUGAAGCUUCUCCAAAAGAGGCUUAUAUCAAGUGGUUGUGCCGGAGGAAGCCACCGGGUUCGCGCAGAGCAUCACCGCGGAGGGGAACGACAAACACCACCGGAUGGAGGAGGGAACGCAGCCAGACCCAGAGCCUGAGGAGCCGGUCGCCGACGAGCCCAUCUACGGCUUGCCUUGUCCAGACUUCUCACCUGAGAGAUGAUCCGGAUGUGCAGUAGGAUGCUGUGGCCCUCACCUACAUCCUUGGCCGCCAUCUUCUCCGGCCUCUAGUACAUUUGUUUGCUCAGUCUGCCAGUUAAUGUUAGAGAUCUGAGCUCGCUUGCAACAAUGUAAUGUGUAAUCUGCAAAUGCAUCUAGUAUUUGCAACAUUCUAGUUUUCUGAUAACUAAUUGUUUAACUUCCAUUCGCAAAGAAAAAAAAAUAUUAAUCAUCACUACUAGCCUGCCUCUCAGAAUUAGCAAGAAUAGAACAUUCUUCAAACAGUAGAAAAUUCAAAUGUUUCAUUGCAACUGAUGCAACACCUAGACAAUAAAUGUUUCUUAAAUGAUCACUGACUUGCAAAAACUAUAUCUAAGAAGUAUCUAAGAAGUACUACUAGCUGAUCAAUCAAGGCAGGCAAAAUAUAAUAAAUUAAUACUCCCUCAGUCCCAAAAUUCUUGUCUUAAGAUUUGUCUAGAUAUAGAUGUAUCUAAUACUAAAACUUGACUUGAUACAUCCGUAUUUAGACAAAUCUAAGACAAGAAUUUUGGGACGGAGGGAGUAUGAGUUUUGCUUAAGAAGUACUACUACAGUAACGUCCAAAAUGGUUUCGCAAGUCUCUUUGGAGAAGGUUCGUAGGAGAUCGACUCAUCUUUAGCUCGUUUCAUGUCUCUGCCAACAAUCUCAAAGUUGGUUACGCUACUUCCAGUGCUUCCUCUUGGUGCUGCCGUUGACAUAGUUGGGGAAUGGAAACUGUUGUUUGAUCGUGUCAUCUGUGAACAAGUCAAAGAUGCAGUUCUUGCCAUAGUAUUCUUAACAUUCUGCUCAUGACUUGCCUGUGAGACCACCCUCUUCAUAAUAUUAUCCAUGCCGUCGCUUGGGGUUGGCAUUGCUUGCUUCAGUUCUUCAAGCUGAACCAAAACAAUUAAGAGAGAUGUUAUUAUUCCUUACAAAACGUCGUCUUCGUUCAUAGAGCACUAGAUUCAUGAGCAGAACCAAACUGGUAGCAUGAAUAAAAUUAAGUUUGUUCACCUUCUUCUGGACUCGAGACGACAUUCUAGCAAGGUAAGAUAUAUCAUCUUCCAGAGUCGACUUUCCUGAGUGUCCUUUAGCAGCAGAUGCUCUAAGGUCUUUAUCAGCCAACAAAGCUUCCUUGGCAAUUUUCAGAUUAUGUAUAUCAGCCAACAAAGCUUCCUUGGCAAUUUUCAGAUUAUGUAUAUCAGCCAACAAAGCUUCCUUGGCAAUUUCCAGAUUAUGUAUAUGCGACAUGCAUAAUGAAAUAGCCUUUGUACUAUAUCUGAUUGCAUCUCCAACCUUGGAUGCCAAACCUAUGCGGAGGUUUCUAGAACUGAAUUAAGGUAAUCAACAAAGGAAGAAUUGAACUCAAAGACCUAAUCAUAACAAAACAGCACUAUCUACCUAACAUUUUUUUCUGGUGAUCACAGUCCUACUCCAAAUCUACACUAACAUGUGGAUUCAAAAGCAGGUGAAGGCACCUGUGCAAGAUUUGGGUCAACUCAAAUUAUUUGAAACCACACUAUUAUGCUGAUUUGUUCUACUACUAUACAGCAGAGUGGCUGACACUCUUAUCACCACAAAGAGGAUACAGAUCGACAAUUCGAAAAUGGUCAGGCCCAACCAAAUGUUCCAAGAUCGCUAAAGCUUCGAAGUAGUAACCGAUUGAUUUGUCUCUGUCCUCUACAAAAGUGAAAAUCAAAUGUGAGGCCUUGAUUGACCAUUCACCAGCCUAACACAUGGUAACUGAGAUAGCUGAGAUUACCUCUUGUCAUGGAGAUUUCAGCUAGAGCAUUCAAUAUAUUAACCUUCUCCAUUGUCUUCUCUGGACUCUUGGCAACUAUCACCCUUGCAGUAUUCAACAUUUUCCAGGCCAAAUCCAAAACAGAAUCAUCUCCAUCGCCUGUCAUGUUCCCAUCCGUCUGACCUUUGCCACGCAAGUUUGUCCCUAACCAACAACAACUAUAUUAGCACGUACCAUUGAAAGAAGAAAAACAUUUUUUCCUUUAGAAAAUGGAAGAGUUUUAUUAUUCCGGGCCUCUGAAUCGAGGAUGCACACAGCCCAAGAGGAAAUAAACAGCAAUAGAUGCACACAAAUGCGUACAAGAUCCAACUCACUUAGUAUACUGUGAUCAUAUAAUAUUAAUGAAAACAUUCCAAGUCCCAAACUAUUAGUACUUUGCAUUGGCAUGGGCAAAUUACUGAUAAGAAGUUUAUUAGGUAUACUCUUCAUUAGGCAUGAACAGACAAUGAGAACUUAUUGCAACCAGUAGUGCUAUCAACUACUCCCUCCGUCCGGAAAUACUUGUCAUUGAAAUGGAUGUAUCUAGAUGUAUUUUAGUUGUAGAUACAUCCAUUUUCAUCUAUUUUGAUGACAAGUAUUUCCAGACGGAGGGAGUAGAUACUACAGUAUAUAGAUUUAAAAAGGAUAAUAAUGCCUUUCAGUGUAUAUGAGUGUCUAGGGCAGUAGCAGUGCCAUGUUAAAGUUGUGGGGUCAACUAAUCCUGCAGUUUUCUCUAAGAGACCAUUCCAUAAACCUGAAGAACAAUGCAAAAUACAGUGAUAUAUUUCAACCUAUAGUGGUGAAAGUGAUAUAAAUGAUAAAGCAUACCUUCUUCAUUUGGUGCACGCUUUGAAACAUUACCUGAACGAUUGGCUGCCUCCCGAGCUUUGCAUAACAAGGCACCUCCAUAAUGGUAAAACGUGUUAGCACACUCAGGAGCAAGGCCUCCAUAAUGUCGAACCCUACGUGACAACAACAACAACGCAUUAAUUUACCGAUGCAUCAUCGUUAACAUUAUAGCAUAAACAUGUACUCUGAAGUGGACAAAACCAUUUUAUGACACAAUGUGUAACUAUGUUCUGUUGACUGCCUUUUAUAGUUACUAGUGCUUGCACAGAAGAGGAGCCAUAUAAAUGAACUGCACAGUGAUCAAAUAGGAUAAUACCUAUCCCUCAAGCAAUUGGACUUUGAUUUAAUUCUCAUCGCAUUACAGACGUCACAACAAAAUAUGAUAAUACCUAUCCCAGGUGGUGUUGUCAGGUCAUACUGGCUAGCUAGACUCACUAACCCCUCAAAGACCAACACCCACACCAUUGUGCUCACUGUCAAAUACAUGAAACCAAAACACCACCCUUGGUAACCACAUUAACAUACAGCAUGUUAAAUCCUACUAAGGUAGCUACAAAUGUCAGAACUCAAAAGGAUCUGAGACACACAUGAAAAGAACAAUGAACUAACUGCAAAUCUUCUUUCCCACAAACUAUCCAUAUGUUACGCUACAGCAGCAUGUCUAGCUAGGAGAACAAGUGGAGUUUGGGAGUAGAACCCAAACCUGAUCUCGAGAACAUGUCUGAAGCAGUCAGCCGUGUAGGCCAAGUCCUUCUCAUUGAUAGCCAUGCACCCCUCAUCAAACAGCACCUGCGCCCAUUCUAGUGAUUUCUCCUCCCAGACCCCUUGCUGACCACCCCUUCCCAGUUGUUUCAGCCAUGGCGCUGGGCUGUGGUGUUCACCACCGGGCACUUGGAGCCUAGAAUGUGGAGUGUAGAAGCCGACAACUGGAAUCAAAUUACAGAAACCAGGACUAGAACACACAAUUUUCGCCUGCUCCGACUGUAGCUCAACCAUGAAGAGGCUAUAAAUAGUUUUAACAAAAAUAGCAUUUGCUCCCUCCGCAAAGCCCAACACUGGAGCAAGUGUGACUGGGUCGAAGAAACUGUCCAUGUCGACGAUCCGGCUCAGCACCCAUCGUGCAUCAGUGCCAUCACUCGCCUCCCUUUUCCACAAUAUGAGCUGAAAAUCAAUGGCUUCGGCAACCCCCAGUCCACCAUCCUCCGCCAGCAUGAGGUUAAAUCUUUGGCGGCCCCUGCCGUAAUCGUCAGGUGGUCUAUCCAACACAGCCAGUACACCACUGUCCAAAUUGUACUCCAGGAUCGUCCCACCGUCGGACAGGAAGUAGAGCAGAGACCUCCCAACCAGCACGCUGGAAUGGUUCUGAAAUUCCAUGGUGAACUCAUCUUGCCUCGAGUUCAGCUUGCCCCAUGUGCCAGUCUCCGACGAGUACAAGCACGCCGAUGUGACAACGUGCCGGUCUUGUUCGCCGGCGAAGAGGAAGACCACGCCGAAGGGACCUCCUGCACAGUCGCGGUGGUCGCACCAGUCCGCUGUGCAGAACACUGCCGCGGCCGGCCACUGGCACCUGAACGCCGCGGGCACCGGUAUGCCCCGACGGGCGCCCGUGAUUGGCUCCCACAAGAGGAGUUCCUGAGUUUCCUGGCGGCGGUCGGAGAGGAAGAGGGCGCGGCCAUGGCGGCAGUCGACGGGGCGCCAGAACCGGCGGUCUGGAGCGGCGAGGGAGAAGGGCGAGGCGGUGGUGGGGAAGAAGUCUGGGAUGCCCCCGUCUUCCCAGUCGUGGAGGAAGCCGAGCACGGGGGGUGCCCGGUGGCGGUGGAGCCCGAUGUAGCGGCGGCGGAAGCGGGGAUGGGAGACGGCGUUCCUCCAGGCCUUGCAGACGAGGGAGGCGCGGAAGAGACAACCUGGGUCGUCGGGCGGGAGGCGGAGGAGGAUCUCUUCGACGACGACGUCGUCCGGGAGCGCCGGCGGCGGCGGCGGCGGUGCUGCCAUGGUGGCCGUUGGUUGGGUUUGGGUGCGGGUGGGGAAUGGUUUCGGCUCAGCCAGAUCGGAACGGACCUUGGCCACAGAGAAGCCAGCGGGCCAAGCCAUGACAUGGGCUGGAGUUAGUAAUGGGCUUGGGCUCGUGGGAGCUGCUGAUUUUGCUAUUCACACCAUGGGCUGGAGUUAGUAAUGGUACUUUCGGGUCAUCGGACCCUAUUGUUUAACAAGUGGCUGAGCUUGACGAAAAAUGUCGCGGCGACAGGAAAACGACCCAUGUAUGCUUAACCUUUGAGUAAAACAAGCGCUUACUAUUUUUUCUCGGUGUUUUUUUAUCCUAAUUCGGCAAAUUUAGCCGAGUUACCGCCAUCAUGAGAUUUUUUAAAGGUCAUAUAUUAUGGUCGAUCAACCCUUACAAGAGCAUCAUUAUAGAAAUCAAAAGUUACACAGAUGUCCUUGGGGGAAUCGACGAUGCCUUCCUCCGCACUCGCCAGCGGUGCCUCGUGAGUGAAGUUCGAUGCAAUUUCUGGAUCUCUGAAACAUGAUAGGAGUAAGGGAAGCGUUGUCGACAUAGCGGCCGAGAAGUCAACUGUCAAAGCCAGAAGACGCCGAUGACAAUGAUCUGAGAAACAGUUCGCCGUCCCAGAGAAGAAGGUUGGACAACCACUCCAAAUCCAACUAGACAGAUUCGGGGAGACCUACCCUCACAGUCUCCCAAACGACGCCAAAGUUGGCUGGUUGUCGCUUGUCGGAGAAGGAGCUAGAGGACAAAGGCAUGAAAAGUUGUCACCAUCCACUCCGCCGGCUUCGGUAGGGGAGCGACCGUUCAGUAAUUCAGGGACCUCGAUGUAAUUUUAUUAUGUUGAGGUUGCUUUGCACUUAUGAUGAAUUUUUUUAAUAGAUUCAAACCCUUCUCCACAAAAGACAAACAACCGGUCAAUAACAAUACACUUUCUAGAUGGUCACUCAAAAUCAAAACAAAAAGGCUCACUAAUAUGCCAUUUCCUCCAAAGGCCACCAAAAGUGAAUACAAAAACAUUUCAUGGGAUAGCGAUUAUUUAUACGACCUAGUCGCACCAAAAAGAUACGCUUAACCCCACAGAUCAGCGGAUUUAUAUUAUUAUUUUAGAUAAAUCAGCAGAUUUAUAUAGCCGAUCGAGCUGGAAUGGAAGCAAGCCCAUGAUACGAUGAUGUGGCCGCACCUUGUCCCAAUAUCUUGUACCACUAAUCAACGUCACUGAUUUAGCUAAAGCCACUGAUGUAUAACCUAACGUAUGCAAGCCAAGCAAAUUGGGCGGACAUGAUAGUACUCCCUCCCUCCCAUAAUGUAAGACGUUUUUUGAGGGAGUAUUAGGCAUGGAGAUCUGGAACAGUACGUGCGAUGCUAAUUUGCAACUAAUAAAAUAAUUAAUCUUCCAAAGAUAGCCAUCCAUGUGCACCAAUGUUAGACCGACCGAGCGCACGUUACUUAUUUCAGAUCAGCAGAAUCUUUCUUGAUCAGAAACACCGGACAGAAAGUUCGUACUGGAUCAGAAUCAGGCUGUGACAACACAAACACACAGUACCGAGAACAAUGUUUCCUGUGAAACACACCCUUUUGCAAUCAUGUUGUCCAAGCAAAUAGCGAUGCAUAUGUAACGGGCUGACAAGGCCUUGGUGCAAAUUAUGNNNNNNNNNNNNNNNNNNNNNNNNNNNNNNNNNNNNNNNNNNNNNNNNNNNNNNNNNNNNNNNNNNNNNNNNNNNNNNNNNNNNNNNNNNNNNNNNNNNNNNNNNNNNNNNNNNNNNNNNNNNNNNNNNNNNNNNNNNNNNNNNNNNNNNNNNNNNNNNNNNNNNNNNNNNNNNNNNNNNNNNNNNNNNNNNNNNNNNNNNNNNNNNNNNNNNNNNNNNNNNNNNNNNNNNNNNNNNNNNNNNNNNNNNNNNNNNNNNNNNNNNNNNNNNNNNNNNNNNNNNNNNNNNNNNNNNNNNNNNNNNNNNNNNNNNNNNNNNNNNNNNNNNNNNNNNNNNNNNNNNNNNNNNNNNNNNNNNNNNNNNNNNNNNNNNNNNNNNNNNNNNNNNNNNNNNNNNNNNNNNNNNNNNNNNNNNNNNNNNNNNNNNNNNNNNNNNNNNNNNNNNNNNNNNNNNNNNNNNNNNNNNNNNNNNNNNNNNNNNNNNNNNNNNNNNNNNNNNNNNNNNNNNNNNNNNNNNNGGCUGAGUAAGCAGAGGCCAGCCGUUCGAUUGAAAUCCAACGGCUCUAAAAUCAAUCCACUCCAACUUUUUAUAAGGCAACAACAAAAUACUAAUAUUUCUCUAUCGGCAAAGGGCUAUAUUAUGGUAAGAUUACAUUAAAAGAGCUUGUCAGUUAGAUAGUACUCUUGUCCCUUCACAUGAUGUAAUAUUUACUCCAUCUUUGCAUAAAUACCAUUUGGAUAUUUACACCGUCCCCAUUAAUAUUUAUAGGAACAUAUUUGUAGAAACUAACUGUUUGUGUGAUAAGUCCACCUUUAAUUUUUUUUCGCAAAAAUAGUCUAUCUUUAACAUACUAUUUUCACCUCACGAAUCUACAUAUUUAAGUCAAAGUAGAAAGAAAAAAGUUUGAAUAUAGCCCAACAUGCAUGUUGAGAGAAAUACCGUAAGUAGCAUUUCCCAUACAUGUAAAGAGAAACACAAGUCGUGUGGUUGAUGAGAUGCCAUGUAUGGUGAAGUGUGACGAUUUAGUUGCCAUCCGGGAUGUCAGAUGUAGUUAUCUGGGAUGGCAAAUAUGGUUGUAAAAGCAUGGCAACUCUCUCUGUUUUGGUUAACUAAAGUUGCCAUGUCUAAUUUAUGGUAGUUGCCGCGUGUAAUCAAAUCAUAGUUGUCGUGUGUGAUUAAUUAACUACUUGUAACAUAUGGUUAAACAAUAGUUGCCAUGUGUGUUUAUCUAGUUGCCACGUGUGGUUAAUCACAGUUGCCAUGUCUGUUUACCUGAUUGUCACGUAUGCGCAACUGCAGUUGCCGUCUAGCAAACGAAUCAUAGUUUUCAUGUGUGUUUACCUAGUUGCCAUGUACGCGCAACUGCAGUUGCCAUCCAACAACGUACGACUGUCAUGUGGGUGAAAAGCAGUUCUCCCACACGCACGUGGACUAGGUGGUGGUUGUGUGAGCAGAAACUAAUUCGCCAACACAACGCAUCUGGCAACCGCGUGCUGUGGGGCGUGUGGGCGACCUCUUCAACGCCCACACACCGGCCUUGUCCUACGUGGCACGUAAAAAUUGCCUUGUCAAGAUUCGUGCAAACUUAACUGGACGGUGAUCCAGGCGUGUGGGCGAGUUGCAAUGUUGCCACACGUGUGAGUGUUAGUGUUUUUGAAGAUCUAUUGUAUUAACUUUUCUUUUGCAACUUAUCCUUUUUGCAUGAUUCCUUAAGUAGUGUGUUUAAAGUAGGGAUGCAGGCGAACAACGUCCACACACAUCCGUAGGGGUAGGGAUGAAAAUGGGUGGAAACUUUCUGCUUUUUCGAAGGAAAAAUGGAAACGGAAAUGAAAUUUGCAAAAAGAAAGUGAAAAUGGAAAUUUUUUAUUAGAAAAAAGGGUAUUUCCCGGUGGAACGGGCAUGAAAAUGGAAUUAUCCGUUUCUGUGAAUAUGAAAAUUUCGUUUUACUAUGGACCUAUAGGUGCCUUGCCGCCCAAUCACCAAACAACAAAUAAUGACACAAUGAAUAGAAUGGAUCAUUUGAGGUCCAACUUCUAUUACCACACAUGUAUUCAGCUUGACCCUAUACGCUAUUGUCCAGUACUACUACAAUAUUAUGAUAAGUUGCGGUAAUCCACUUCUGAGCCCAGGCUCAGCUGCAUCCGCCCUUAUGGAAAAAAAUCAAAACAAAUAUUAGGAAAAUUCAAAAAAUUCCAAUUUUUCUGUGUGGUAGAUAAUUUGAUGCAUGAGGUACGCUUUAAUUUUUAAAUCAUUUGAAUAUGUGAGCAGCUCUCGGCAAAAAAGACAAAUUCAAGGCCUAUAAAAAUGUUUACUGUCCAUGCACUGUUCUUACCCGAUUUAGCUUUUUUGCUGAGAAAUUCUCAGAAGUCCAAAUGAUCUCAAAUUUUUAGCGGACCUCCUGUGAUAAAUUUUCUACCAUACAAAAAAAAUUGAAUUUUUUGAAUUUGUUUUGUAUUUUUUGUGAUAUUUUCCUGGACGGAUGCAGAUGAGCCUGAGCACCGAAACGCCGCACUCCAUAAGUUGCUAACAUAAUAAUUUUAUUAGUUUAGCCAUUAACAAUUCAUUAAAAAAAUCUUUCUCGUGUGUAUUCAAGGCGAUUUUAUGUUCCGGUCAAUAGUCAUUUUUGUUCCAUGUCCGCUUUGUAUUCACUCUGUGUACGUUUUUGAUAGUAUAUGUGUUUCCGUAUUUAUUUCCGCGGUUUCUGUAUGCGUUUCCGCUUCUGCAAAAAUAUAUGAAAACAAAUAUAGUAGCACGCAGUUCCGUCCGUUUCCACUUCAUUUUCAUCCCUACAUAGAUAGGGGUGUAAUUUGACCAUCAUUCAUUAUUAAAGCAACGAUGUAUUAGUUCGUAUUCGGCGGUCGAGGGCGUACAUACGGGGACGCGGUCCACUUGCAUCCCUAGUUUGAUGAAACAAGUCGUACAAUCACAGUGCAGCUGGAGAUCGAGCCAAAGCAACUUUAUGAGCUUGCUUGCUGGCGGAAAGCCAUGGUACACUAUGUGCUACAGGUAUAUUCAGAAAAAAGGUUGCUCUGCUCCCCUAGCAAAGUGGCAAGCAUGGGGUCGGCGUUAAUUAGCUUACUGGCGCUAACAGUAUUCGACAUAUUACGGACAAGGCCGCGUGGGCAGGGCCCAUGCAAAUGCGGCCCAACCGGCCGAUCGCACCAAAUGCACUUCCUGUGCGGCCUGGUUGUACCAAUAGUGUUCUUUUCGUCACGUCAGCUGAUAUAAGUAAUAAGUUUGAACCUUCAAAAAAAAAAGUAAUAAGUUUGAACCUUCAAAAUCAGAACUUCACUGAUCAGUCCGCUAAUGCAGAGGGCCAGUACCCUUGUCUCUUGGCAUCGACGUCGACACGUCGUGGAGAAUAUGAAUGUUCCAACAAUCUGUACUGGCAAAAAGAAAAAAGAAAAAAGAAAAAAGAAACUGGAUUCGGAUGCUGGAAUGGAAAUAUUAAUGUUCCGACAAUCGGAAAGUGUCGGUGUGGGUCCUCCAACUGCAGUACUACUAGUUGGUAUCUCAUUUCUUGUCUCGCCAUGUUUCGCCAUUUUCAACUAGUUGGUGUCAUAUUAAUGUUCCAACAAUCUGUACCCGCAAAAUCAAAGAAAAUCUAGUUCUAGUGUGGAAUGAAUGUACGUAAUUUUCUUUCGGAAAAAUCAGCAGAAAUUUUGUUUGAAUCCAAAUAAUUUCAAAUUUUAAAAUCUAGAGAAAAGAAAAUAUAGCUCAGGAUGCGUACUUUUAUUCGAAAGAAUAUACAGUAUACAUUAGCCGUCUGUAUUAAGCACAAGCAGAUCAGGUGGGUUGGUUUAGAGGCGUGCACAAAAGUGACAUGGCGCCUGUUCAAUCCCACACCGAUUCUUUAUUUGCAGCUCGAUUUGUUAAACCAUACACUGACUUGUAGUAUGAACUUAAAAACAACUGAGGGUGUUUCUGCAAAAAGAAAAAUCACGUGCACUGCAUUUCAGCCGCUCCCAGCCACUGACAAUGGGCCCUGUCCAGGCUGGCGUUCCACGCAGGCAGCAAAUACACACGCAAUCGUAUUUGCACGUCCGCGCAAGUUUUAUGACCAGAAAGACGUAUUUUGCAAGUUUGUGCAUCAAACUGACCACCACGCGUAAGUUCUAAGACUUCCGGUGUAUUUACCUCACGUAUAUAGUACACGCGUGAUGAAUGGAUAUUAUUACCAGAAUAUUCGGAAAGGAAUAUCCACAGUUUGCGUGCAGCCAGACGCCAGUCAUUUUCGUUUGGAAUCAUCCACUUGGCUUGAUCUUUCAGCAAGCUUUUGCCGUUGUUGUCGUUGCACCAACAUAAACAUGUGAAUGUAUGGUUCAACUAGACAUUCUCGUCAGAAAUAUGCAUGCCUGCAUGCACUCCCUCUCACCACUUCCAAAUUUAAUUAUACAGGAUAAUAUGUUCCGUACUAUACAUAUGACAUGUUAUAUUUUCUUGUUUCAUUUUUCUUCGGUAGAAGUGCAGCUGCUAUGCAAUUCCACCACAGAGUUGAGUCUUCCUACGAUCUCCUCUGCUGUAACGGUGAAGCCAUCAUCCACCUGAAAACAAAAUGCAAACUAGCUAUUGACCAGCAUUGUAUUCUCUUACUUCAUUCAGAUGAAUAUAAUACUUAUGAACAAACAUGAUUAGCUUUUUUCCCAGGGGAGCAUGCAGGAUUGGCUAGAUUGAGAAUUAUGUUUUUGUUCAAUAAAUACUGGUCAUCAAACAAAAAAAUGCUAAACCAUUUACAGACACUACCCUUUUAUUCUCCAACCAAAUCUCGCCAUGUCAGCUUGUCGGUACGGUCCAUAACAAAUCCCCCAUAAAUGUAGCUUUACUUGUCAUCAAAAUAUAUAUGUAGGCUCUACAAUAGUACGUUCGUGGAAUUUUCUAUGCAUGUUGACCAUGUCUUGCAAAUUAAGAAGCUUCCUCAUAAUGCGGGAUAGAUUAUGGAUUUUGUACGAAACAUUAGUUAAGGCUAUCAUAGUACAACUAUGACGGUAUGAUAUCCGGUUUUUAAUUUUUGCCUGGGCCAAUUUUUAUUUUGUUGAGUGGUUCCAACUAGCCAAAAGAAUGAAUAUAUGUUUCAGUGUAAACAGCCCAGUUUAAUUCGAGCAUUGAAAUCACAUUGUCUUUGAGAGAUGAAUGUCUUUCCGGGCCAAGUUGCUAAUCGCUUCGGUUUAGCUAAAUCUAAGUCAUUUGUGGUUGUCUUAUAUGUAGGCUCUACGAUAGUACUUUCUUCGUUUUUAUUUACUCUGCAUAUUAGAGUUGACUGAAGUCAAACUUCGUAAAGUCUAACCAAGUUUAUAGAAAACAAUAUAAACAUUUACCAUAUCAAAUUUAUAUGAUGUGAAAGUACAUUUAUUAAUAAAUCUGAUGGUAUUGAUUUGUUAUUGUAUAUGCUCAUGUUUUUGUUUAUAAACUCUGUCAAAGUUUACAAAGCUUGACUUUGACCAAAGCUAAUACGCGGACUAAAUAAAAACGGAGGGAGUACGUUUGUGGAAUAUUCUAUGCAUUGACCAUGUCUUGCAAAUUAAGAAAAUUAAGAAGCUUCCUCAUAAUGCGGGAGAGAUUAUGUAUUUUGUACGCGACAUUAGUUAAGGCCAUCGUAGUACAACUAUGACGGUAUGAUAUCCAAUUUUUAAUUUUUGCUGGGUUCAAUUUUUAUUUUGCUGAAAGGUUUCAACUGGCCGGUUUAAACCAAUGAAUAUAUGUUUUAUGUAACAGCCCAGUUUAAAACAGAACUUUCCAGCAUUGAAAUCACAUUGUCUUCGAGACAUGAAUGUCUUUUUGGUCCAAGUUGCUAAUCACUCCGGUUUAGGUAUAUCUAAGUCAUUUGAGAUUGUCUUAUAUGUAAGUCGAUGCUCUAAUUAGCCGUCAGAUGUCCACAUUUUGAGAUACAUGUAGAAGUGAGUGUAGAAAUUUCAUGCCCUGAAACUAUAUUAAAAAAUAAUUAUAAUUACUAAUAUAUAUUGAGAAUACCUCAUUAUGAAGCGAGUGUAACAAUGGUUGAUUACCAAUGAAAUACAGUCCCUCCGCUAACUAGAUGUUCUAACUUUUUUCUGGUUCAGAUGUAUAUAAACGUGUUUUAGUGUAUUUGUUCACUCAUUUCAGUUUGUAUAUAGUUUGUAUUAAAAUAUCCAAAACAUCUUAUAAUAGUGAACAGAGGAGUAUCAUAUAUGUUCGGUUGAUGAUAAGUCUGGCUAGGCCAUUGAUAAGUGAAAGGAGCUAGAUCAAAUAUGAUUAGACAUGAAAAAUCUUACUCGACUUUUAUGGAUCGAUAAUCCUAGACCUAUGUAGCUUUGCAAAAUGUUUCACGUAACCUUCCUAGCCCCACGCACACACACAUUUUCAGGUGGGUGGGGCCCCUAGCUUCCCCCCCUUCUCCAAUCACAAUUAUGUGGCGGCUUACGUAGAACACGUAGGUAAUUUUCUUUACGUGGAAGUACCAUUACUCUUUUUGUCUAUGAGGGUGUUUGUUUCCAGUGACUUAUGGGUUUAGGGACUUAAAAAAGUCCCUAUAAGUCCAAUCCAAGCCAAACAGGAGGGACUUAUUGGGACUUAUUGGGGUGAUUAGGGACUUAUCAAAUAAGCUCCUCAGGGAGGAGCUUAUUGGGACUUAUCUGGACCCGCACCGCUCGAUCCCCUCCUCGCCUCGCGUACCGCAUCGCCCCACGCCGCUUGUUCGCCUCGUACCGCAUCGCCCCCUCGGUUCCCCUCGUCGCCUCGCUCGCGUCGCACCAAUCGCCGCCGCCGCCGGCAGCUUCAACAGCCGCCGCCAUGGCCGGCGAGGAAGACGAGAUCCCCUUCUUCUCUCAAUUCCCCUUGUCUCAGGAGGCACCCGAAGGCUCAUCCGCCGGUGGAAAUCUCGGGAGGGGAAUGGGUUUCUUGGAUCUCAACAACAACACGGACGUCUUCCCGGAGUUGGGCUCGUACCAACAACUUCUCUUUGACCAGUCGGCCGGUCAUGGCCUUCCUCCGGUUGGACGUGGUCGUGGGAGGCCCGUACCCCAGGGCGGAGGAGGCCGCAGCCGGUCUCUGAACAUCGGAGGCCGAGGCGGCUCUAACCUGCGUCCGUUCGUCGCCCCGGCCGCAGCUGCCGUUGAGGGAGGCGUCAUAAGGCGUGGGAGGACCUCGUCCCAGGUCACCGGACGCGGCGUAGGUCGAGGCAAUGGGUCCUCAGCGGCCGGCAGUAGAGGAAAAAAUGCGGGGAAGCAACGUGUGUCGUCAACUGCUGCGUCUUCAGAAGAUGUCGACGAGAAUGAAGGCUUUGAAGAUGAUGAUGACAACAAUGAUGGGUUGUGGUCCUUGAAACAACAAUGAUAUGAACAAGUGUUGUUCGCUUGUAAUUUCUUUUAUCUCGGUUGUUAUGUACUCUCUAUUAUUUUGGUUCUUAUCAACAAGUGUUAAUUGUUUGUAUGAACAAGUGUUAUGAAUAAGUGUUAUUUCGGUUGUCACUAUUCUGUAAUUCGUUUGUAUGAAAAAUGAUUAUCAACUUAUAAGUCCCUGUAAACAAACAGGCAGGGACUCGGAACUUAUAAGUCGAUGUAAACAAACAGGCAAGGACUUAUGACUUAUAAGUUGGAACUUAAAAAAAUCCUGGGACUUAUGAAACAAACAGGCCCUAUAUUGGACCGAAAUGUGAAAUCAAGGAAAACCUGCCUUGGCCGUGAUGGUUAUGAUGACAGUGCAGGCCGUGAAGGGCAUGACAUUGGCGUGGGUGACGGUGAGGUGGAGCCCCUCCUCCACCUCCGACAGCACCCUCACCACCACCCCCUUGGCGGCGGCGCACAGGAUCCUCACCAUCACGCCGGUCUCCGAGAACCGCACCUCGAUCUCCGGCAGUGGGUUCCUCGAAGCCGGCGCCCCCGACGACGCCGACGAGGGCGAGCCGUUUUCGUCUGCAACGGCGGCGUAGCAGGGCUUCUUGACGAGUACCACGGUCUCGAUGCUCCUGCUGCCGCGGCCGGUGGCUGCCUCGAGGGCCUUGAUCUUCUCCUGCAGCUCCUUGACGUGCCUCGUCGCGUCGGAAAGGAUCGUCGCCUUGUCCAUCUGAAUCAAUCGUAUACGUAUAUGGAUCUACACUGAGAUGAUUUGUUUUCACGGGGAAGAAGAACUAACAUAAGAGCAGGUGUUGAAGCAAAUCGGAGUACGCACCUUCUUGAGGCCGGGGAUGACGGUGGAGAGCUCGAUGAAGCGCUGGUUAAUCUUCUCGCGGCGCUUGCGCUCCGCCAUGAUAUGGUCCUGCGCGUACGGCGGCCCCGACGACACGGGCCCGGUGCCGGUGGGGCUCCUUGCGGCGGCCCUCCUCGUGGGCUGCGACCCCGUCUCCGGGACGACAGGUCCGGCGCUGCCGCUGUCCAGUGUACCGUCACUGGCCGGCAGCGCGGAGAAAUUCCAGCUCAUCACGGGAAGGCUGGUGCCCGCACCGUUCCUGCAAAGCCUCGGAGCGCACCUGGCCGAGUUCGGGGACAGGGGCCAGACGUCGUGCUCCAUGGCCGCCGGGGACGAGAAAUUGCCACCAUAGCCUCCGCUGCCGUCUGUGGUUUCGCCGGAGCUCCCGCUGCUUGCCGGAUUGGCUCCCGUAAUCAGCUCUUCGAAGACGAGACGCUGCUCACGGAGCGCCUGAAGCGAGGGGAAGGCUGCGUCGCCGGAGUCGCCACUGACGACCACCACUGGGUCUGGGUGCUCCUGCUCCAGCGAGUCCAUGGCCCAUUCCAUGAACAGGGCCAAGUCGUCCAUGUCGCCGACUUAAUUUGGAUGGAUGCAAAUGAUGGAGAGGAACCUUCUAAUUAGGAAAGAAAAAGCACAGUUUAACCUAGAUAGAUGAAAAGUUUACAAGAACCUUCUAAACCAAACUGAAUGUAAUACAGAAGACUUAUCCAUAAAUUACUAUAAGAGGAGACUUAAGACUUAAUUACCUCAAAUCUUUCCUAAGCUUGCAGAAGAUGCUAUGAUGAGCAAAUCCCCUCCAAAUUAUUCAGUGAGCGUGCAGCGCUACCCAAAGAAGCAACGGAGAGGUUUUGCCUUAUAUAGGGCAGUGACACCGCAGUUCACUGCAGUACUAGAGGCCUCUGAGUGGCUCCUCCCUUUCCAGAGGGCCAAUAAUGCAUAGGAGAAAACAAUCCUUUCAACCAAAUCUGGUUAUGUCGCCUAAAUCAGGUGAAAAUGAUAUUUUGCAGCCCCUACAGUACGCUAGGUAAACUAAAAUACAAGAGUUGAUGUCCAUGCAUGAUGUGUUGAUUUGACCUAGCUCGUUUAUCUGGGGUUUCUCUACCUCCCCUAUCCCUUGGUGGCUAGGGUAAACUCUCCCCUCUAAUCUUUGCCGGCGAGACCAUAGAUUUGCCUCUCCUUUGUCUGCCGCUCUGGCGGCCGGUGGCGGCCCGGGAGGGUAAUCCCGGUGCCUCCACUUCGGUUAGUAGUUUAGGUUAGGUCUUUUAGUCCUCGUAGGUGCGGCACUUGGGCGGAUGGCAGCGCUUCUUCUUCGAGUUUGUCUUCCGGGUUCUGAUCGUCCUCGAGUUUGUCUAUCUGGACGUAGUCGAUGGAGAUUCAGUGUAGAUUCAUGUUGCCUUCUUGGGACGAUGAGGUUAGGGUUUCUCUUCGUAUGGCGAGAUUUGGUGUCAGGUGUUUCAGAUCUAUUCAGGGGUUCAACGACGACGACUGCGGCUUCAGGUCGCUGGUCCUUAGGGGCACGUCCACGAAGACUUCCCCGCUGUCAUCGACAAGGUUAAGCCAUCUCCGGUAUAGGAGCGGCGACAUCGGCGCGUCGACGGCUCCUUCUGAUGGCAGUAGUGGUUGUUCGGUGGUCUCAGAAUAUUAAUGUAAUUUUUAUUAUGUUUGAUGUGCUUGUACUUUCGGUGAACCUUAAUAAUAUAUCUCGAUUAUUUUCAAAAGAAAUUGACCUAACUCAUUUAUCUUUGGAGCAAUAGUAUUUUUCAUGCUAAUUAAUUUGUCACUGAUCGAUAUCACAAUUAUUCUCCGGCCAGGCACACGCACGCACACACGCACUCUGCGCUCGCGCGCGCGCGCACACACACAAUAUCUUUCACUUCAGUGUGACACUUCGCUAGAAAGGAGCAGACAAGGAGGUAUACGAAAGAUCUUUGGAUGCCUUAAUUUAAUUAGUCGAUUGCGGUGAAAAUUGAUUAAUGUCAUAGAUGUCUCGAUGCUGAUGUCUUAUUCGUACUAUGCUGAGUAUUUUAUCUUCAUCUGCAACUCCACCAACUAAUCUGCAAAAUUAAAUGCAAUGUGGAUCCACUAAUAAUUAAUAUGCAUCACCUCGUCUUUACCGCUAAGCACUUGCAACCUUUACAAGUUUUUUUGUGACUUUUACAAGUUGGAAUGGAUGGAAAGACAUGUCUUGUAGAUUUUUAAUUAUAUUGAUGAAGACAAACAAUUUCAAAUGAAUUCAUCCAUGUCUUAAAUCAAGUUGUGAGGACAAAGUAAUAUUAGCUAGAAAAAACAUUGCAUUAAUAAAUGAAAUGUAAGACAAGUUUCACAUCAUCCAUUCCAAUAUUUGACGAGAUAUAUUCUCCAUCCAUCCAUAUAUAUAGGGCCUAACGCGUUUUUUGGGACUGCCUUUGACUAUUCAUAAGAUUAAUAGUAUAUUAGAUGUAUAAUGUGCAACUCUAUCAUUAGAAGCUUCUUUCACGCACGAAUAUGAUGGUAUGCUUUGCGUAACUUGCAUGUCAUAUAUUAUUACUCUAACAUAUGGUCAAAGUUAGCCUCGGAAAACGCAUUAUGCCCUAUAUAUAUAUGGAGAGAAGGAGUAGUUAUUUUACAGAAGACUAGAGCUUUGAUAAGUUCCGACAAGACCUGGAGAAGGAGGCACGCCAGGUGUCCAUACGAUGUCAUUGUUGAGGAAAUAUUCACACAUAUCUUUGAUGCAUCAUUUGACUUUAACAUGGCCAUAGUUCUCACUAUAGCAACCUGUGUAAGUAUAUUUCACUAUAAUGCAAAUUGUUGUGAUGGACAAGCUCGUCCAUAUGCGCGCAAACAUAGGACCUACAUGUCAUAUAGUACCAACUAUUACCUACAAGGAAAUUGAAUUUGUUGGGUAGCUUUGUUGGACCCUUUGCACCGAUCCCCUUCUCCUAGUCCCGUGAAGGCUUGCCCAUGAUAGUCGUGCCUCCGUAUCAAGGAACAAAGGUAAGAUAUCUUGUUCCAAGGUACAACAACUGCAUACACAUGAAAAAAGGAGGCGUAAAUACGCAAAACUAGGUGGAUAAGAAAAAAGAAACACUACCGCAGAAAGGGCAUUAGAGCCCCCCCCCCCCCUCUCACACACAUAGUUUUCAUGCCAUUUUGAGUUUCAUUUCUAGCAAAUAGUUGCUAACACUUCUAGUAUUGAAGGUGGUUCUAAACUCCCCUUGGAUAGUUGCAACUAAACCACCUGCAAUAUUUUAGGUGUAUCAGAGGUGGAACUCUCUCAAGAACCACUUUCAAUUCUUUAGUACUAUAGGCAGAACAUUCAUGUAGCAAUAUGCAGGGUAUCAUCUUGUAUAUAGCUAAAUAGUUUAUCUCCACUACUUCUAUUUCUCUAAACAUGCACGCAUGUGAGUUCAAUACUCCACUAUUUCUCUCCCCAUGCGUGUAAAAUAUUAUUCUUAUUCUCGCUCAACAUAAAAAAUCCUAACUCGACACACAUGUCACCUCAUCAAUCACAUUACUUCUAUUUCUCUCAAAAUGCAUAUGAAAUCUUGCCAAGGUCCACAUGCACAUGUACAAAAUAAGAACCGUGAGAACCAAUCUAGGGUCUCUUUUCCUCCCCUAUCCCUUGGCGGCUAGGUUCAACUCUCUCCUCCAAGCUUUGCCAGUGAGCCCUGGAUAUUCACCUCCCCUCUGCCUCCGCUCCGACAUGAAGGAAAUAUGCCCUAGAGGCAAUAAUAAAGUUAUUAUUUAUUUCCUUAUAUCAUGAUAAAUGUUUAUUAUUCAUGCUAGAAUUGUAUUAACCGGAAACAUAAUACAUGUGUGAAUACAUAGACAAACUUAAUGUCACUAGUAUGCCUCUACUUGACUAGCUCAUUAAUCAAAGAUGGUUAUGUUUCCUAACCAUAGACAUGAGUUGUCAUUUGAUUAACGGGAUCACAUCAUUAGUAGAAUGAUGUGAUUGACAUGACCCAUUCCGUUAGCUUAGCACUUGAUCAUUUAGUAUGUUGCUAUUGCUUUCUUAAUGACUUAUACAUGUUCCUGCAACUAUGAGAUUAUGCAACUCCCAUUUACCGGAGGAACACUUUGUGUGCACCAAACGUCACAACGUAACUGAGUGAUUAUAAAGGAGCUCUACAGGUGUCUCCAAAGGUACAUGUUGAGUUGGCGUAUUUCGAGAUUAGGUUUUGUCACUCCGAUUGUCAGAGAGGUAUCUCUGGGCCCUCUCGGUAAUGCACAUCACUAUAAUCCUUGCAAGCAAUGUAGCUAAUGAGUUAGUUACGGGAUGAUGACUUGUCGGUAACGAGAUUUAACUAGGUAUUGGGAUACAGACGAUCGAAUCUCGGGCAAGUAACAUACCGAUGACAAAGGGAACAACGCAUGUUGUUAUGCGGUUUGACCGAUAAAGACCUUCGUAGAAUAUGUAGGAGCCAAUAUGAGCAUCCAGGUUCCGCUAUUGGUUAUUGACCAGAGAGAUGUCUCGGUCAUGUCUACAUAGUUCUCGAACCCGUAGGGUCCGCAGGCUUAAUGUUCAUUGACGAUAUAGUAUUAUAUGAGUUAUGUAUGUUGGUAACCGAAUGUUGUUCGGAGUGCCGGAUGAGAUCACGGACAUGACAAGGAACUCCGGAAUGGUCCGGAGAUAAAGUUUUGAUAUAUGGGAUAAUAGUGUUUGAUCUCCGGAAGGGUUCCGGAAUUCACUGGAUGGGGUUCCGGAUGUUUCCCAAAAUGUUUGGGUACGAGAACACGUUAUUUGGGCCAAAGGGGAAAGCCCACGAGGCUUUUGGAAAGUGCAAAAGGAAGUUUUGCGGAGACUAGAGGCUAGACGCUAGGAACCCUGGCGUCUAGGGGGUAGACGCCGGGAACCCUGGCGUCUAGCCCUGGAGUCCGUGUAGGACUCUUGCCUUUUGGGCAAAACCGACUUUGAGGAGGCUUUUACUCCAAGUUUCGACCCCAGGGCUCAACAUAUAAAUAGAGGGGCAGAGCUAGCACCAAAGACACAUCAAGAAACACCAGGCCGUGUGCCGGCAACCCCGUCCCCUCUAGUUUAUCCUCCGUGAUAGUUGUGGGCGAUACAAGUCAUACUGCUUACCAACAUGUCAUACUUUGGUUCGGCGGUAUUGUUGGAUGAAGCGGCCCGGACCGACAUUACGCGUACGCUUAUGCGAGACUGGUUCUACCGACGUGCUUUGCACACAGGUGGCUGGCGGGUGUCAGUUUCUCCAACUUUAGUUGAACCGAGUGUGGCUACGCCUGGUCCUUGCGAAGGUUAAAAUAGCACUAACUUAACGAACUAUCGUUGUGGUUUUGAUGCGUAGGUAAGAACGGUUCUUGCUCAGUCCGUAGCAGCCACGUAAAAUUUGCAACAACAAAGUAGAGGACGUCUAACUUGUUUUUGCAGGGCAUGUUGUGAUGUGAUAUGGUCAAGACGUGAUGCUAUAUUUUAUUGUAUGAGAUGAUCAUGUUUUGUAAUCGAGUUAUUGGCAACUGGCAGGAGCCAUAUGGUUGUCACUUUAUUGUAUGAAAUGCAAGCGCCAUGUAAUUGCUUUACUUUAUCACUAAGCGGUAGCGAUAGUCGUAGAAGUAAUAGAUGGUGAAACGACAACGAUGCUACGAUGGAGAUCAAGGUGUCGCACCGGUGACGAUGGUGAUCACGACGGUGCUUCGGAGAUGGAGAUCACAAGCACAAGAUGAUGAUGGCCAUAUCAUAUCACUUAUAUUGAUUGCAUGUGAUGUUUAUCCUUUAUGCAUCUUAUUUUGCUUUGAUUGACGGUAGCAUUACAAGAUGAUCUCUCACUAAUUAUCAAGAAGUGUUAUCCCUGAGUAUGCACCAUUGCGAAAGUUCUUCAUGCUGAGACUCCACGUGAUGAUCGGGUGUGAUAGGCUCUACGUUCAAAUACAACGGGUGCAAAACAGUUGCACACGCGGAAUACUCAGGUUAAACUUGACGAGCCUAGCAUAUACAGAUAUGGCCUCGGAACACGGAGACCGAAAGGUCGAACAUGAAUCAUAUAGUAGAUAUGAUCAACAUAGUGAUGUUCACCAUUGAAAACUACUCCAUCUCACGUGAUGAUCGGACAUGGUUUAGUUGAUUUGGAUCACGUGAUCACUUAGAUGACUAGAAAGAUGUCUGUCUAAGUGGGAGUUCUUAAGUAAUAUGAUUAAUUGAACUUAAAUUUAUCAUGAACUUAGUCCUGGUAGUAUUUUGCAAAUUUUGUUGUAGAUCAAUAGCUCGCGUUGUUGCUUUCAUAUGUUUAUUUUGAUAUGUUCCUCGAGAAAAAUUGUGUUGAAAGAUGUUAGUAGCAAUGAUGCGGAUUGAAUCCGUGAUCUGAGGUUUAUCCUCAUUGCUGCACAGAAAAAUUAUGUCCUUAAUGCACCACUAGGUGACAGACCUAUUGCAGGAGCAGAUGCAGACGUUAUGAACGUUUGGCUAGCUCAAUAUGAUGACUACUUGAUAGUUUAGUGCACCAUGCUUAACGGCUUAGAAUCGGGACUUUAAAUACGUUUUGAACGUCAUGGACCAUAUGAGAUGUUCCAGGAAUUGAAGUUAAUAUUUCAAGCAAAUACCCGAGUUGAGAGAUAUGAAGUCUCCAACAAGUUCUAUAGCUAAAAGAUGGAGGAGAAUCGCUCAACUAGUGAGCAUGUGCUCAGAUUGUCUGGGUACUAAAAUCGCUUGAAUCAAGUGGGAGUUAAUCUUCCAGAUAAGAUAGUGAUUGACAGAGUUCUUUAGUCACCAUCACCAAGUUAGUAGAACUUCGUGAUGAACUAUAGUAUGCAAGGGAUGACGAAAAUGAUUCCCGAGCUCUUCGUGAUGUUGAAACCGACGAAGGUAGAAAUCAAGAAAUAGCAUCAAGUGUUGAUGAUUGUCAAGAACACCAGUUUCAAGAAAAGGGCAAAAGGGAAAGAAAGGGAACUUCAAGUAGAAUGACAAGCAAGUUGUCACUCCCACGAAGAAGCCCAAAGCUGGACCAAAGCUUGAAACUGAGUGCUUACACUGCAAAGGAAACGGUCACUUGAAAUAGAAAUGCCCUCAAUAUUUGGUGGACAAGAAGGAUGGCAAAGUGAACAAGGGUAUAUUUGUUGGGGAACGUAGCAGAAAUCAAAAAAAUUCUACACAUCACGAAGAUCAAUCUAUGGAGUAAUCUAGCAACGAGGGAAGGAGAGUGCAUCUACAUACCCUUGUAGAUCGCUAAGAGGAAGCGUUCAAGUGAACGGGGUUGAUGGAGUCGUACUCGUCGUGAUCCAAAUCACCAAUGAUCCUAGUGCCCAACGGACGGCACCUCCGCGUUCAACACACAUGCAGCCCGGUGACGUCUCCCAUGACUUGAUCCAGCAAGGAGAGAGGGAGAGGUUGGGGAAGACUCCGUCCAGCAGCAGCACGACGGCGUGGUGGUGGUGGAGGAGCGUGGCACUCCAGCAGGGCUUCCCCAAGCACCGCGAGAGACGAGGAGGAAGAGAGGUAGGGCUGCGCCAAGAGGAAGAUCAAAUCAUGUGUUGGCAGCCCCAAAGACCUCAAUUAUAUAUAGGGGAGAGGGAGGGGGCUGCUCCCCCUCUAGGGUUCCCACCCCAAGGGGUGCGGCAACCCCUAGAUCCCAUCUAGGGUGCGGCCAAGGGGGGAAAGGGGAAACUUGCCCCCCAAGUAAGGUGGAGGCGCCCCCUCCCCAAACCCUAGGCGCCUUGGGCCCUGGUGGGGGGGGGGGGGCGCACCAGCCCACCUGGGGCUGGUCCCCUCCCACACUUGGCCCAUGCAGCCCUCUGGGGCUGGUGGACCCCCGGGACCCUUCCGGUGGUCCCGGUACGUUACCGAUAGCACCCGAAACUUUUCCGGUGACCAAAACAGGACUUCCCAUAUAUAAAUCUUUACCUCCGGACCAUUUCGGAACUCCUCGUGACGUCCGAGAUCUCACCCGGGACUCCGAACAACAUUCAGUAACCACAUACAUCUAUUCCCUAUAACCCUAGCGUCAUCGAACCUUAAGUGUGUAGACCCUACGGGUUCGGGAGACACGCAGACAUGACCGAGACAACUCUCCGGCCAAUAACCAACAGAGGGAUCUGGAUACCCAUGUUGGAUCCUGCAUGUUCCACGAUGAUCUCAUCGGAUGAACCAUGAUGUCGAGGAUUCAAUCAAUCCCGUAUUCAAUUCCCUUUGUCUAGCGGUAUGGUACUUGCCCGAGAUUUGAUCGUCGGUAUCCCGAUACCUUGUUCAAUCUCGUUACCGGCAAGUCUCUUUACUCAUUCCGUAACACAUCAUCCCGUGAUCAACCCCUUGGUCACAUUGUGCACAUUAUGAUGAUGUCCUACCGAGUGGGCCCAGAGAUACUUCUCCAUCACACGGAGUGACAAAUCCCAGUCUCGAUUCGUGCCAACCCAACAGACACUUUCGGAGAUGCCCGUAGUGCACCUUUAUAGCCACCCAGUUACGUUGUGACGUUUGGUACACCCAAAGCAUUCCUACGGUAUCCGGGAGUUACACAAUCUCAUGGUCUAAGGAAAUGAUACUUGACAUUAGAAAAGCUUUAGCAUACAAACUACACGAUCUUUGUGCUAGGCUUAGGAUUGGGUCUUGUCCAUAACUUCAUUCUCCUAAUGAUGUGAUCCUGUUAUCAACGACAUCCAAUGUCCAUGGUCAGGAAACCGUAACCAUCUAUUGAUCAACGAGCUAGUCAACUAGAGGCUUACUAGGGACAUGGUGUUGUCUAUGUACCCACACAUGUAUCUGAGUUUCCUAUCAAUACAAUUAUAGCAUAGAUAAUAAACGAUUAUCAUGAACAAGGAAAUAUAAUAAUAAUAACUAAUUUAUUAUUGCCUCUAGGGCAUAUUUCCAACAGUCUCCCACUUGCACUAGAGUCAAUAAUCUAGUUCACAUCGCCAUGUGAUUAACACUCGCAGGUCACAUCGCCAUGUGAUCAACAUUCAAAGAGUUUACUAGUGUCACUAAACUAGUUCACAUCAUGUGAUUAAGACUCAAUGAGUUUUGGGGUUUGAUCAUGUUUUUCUUGUGCGAGAGGUUUUAGUCAACGGGUCUGCAACAUUCAGAUCCGUAUGUACUUCGCAAAUCUCUAGGUCAUAUUGUAAAUGCUGCUUCCACGCUCCACUUGGAGCUAUUCCAAAUGGUCGCUCCACUAUACGUAUCCGGUUUGCUACUCAGAGUCAUUCGGAUAGGUGUUAAAGCUUGCAUCGAUGCAACUCUUUAUGUCGAACUCUUUAUCACCUCCAUAACCGAGAAACAUAUCCUUAUUCCUCUAAGGAUAACUUUGACCGCUAUCUGGUGAUCCACUCCUUGAUCACCUUUGUACCGUCUUGCCAGAUAUGUAGCAAGGCACACAUCAGGUGUGGUACACAGCAUAGCAUACUGUAGAGCCUACGUCUAAAGUAUAGGGGACGACCUUCGUCCUUUCUCUCUUUUCUGCCGUGGUCGAGCUUUAAGUCUUAACUUCGUACCUUACAACUCAGGCAAGAACUCCUUCUUUGAUUGAUCCAUCUUGGACACCUUCAAGAUCAUGCCAAGGUAUGUGCUCAUUUGAAAGUACCAUUUAGCGUUUUUGAUCUAUCCUCAUAGAUCUUGAUGCUUAAUGUUCAAGCAGCUUAGUCAAGGUUUUCUAUUGAAAAAUACCUUUCAAAUAACCCUAUAUGCUUUCCAGAAAUUCUACAUCAUUUCUGAUCAAUAAUAUGUUAACAACAUAUACUCAUCAGAAAUUCUAUAGUGCUCCCACUCACUUCUUUGGAAAUACAAGUUUCUCAUAAACAUUUGUACAAACCCAAAAUCUUUGAUCAUCUCAUCAAAGCGUACAUUCCAACUCCGAGAUGCUUACUCUAGUCCUUAGAAGGAUUGCUGGAGCUUUGCAUACUUGUUAGCAUCUUUUAGGAUUGACUAAACCUUUCUGAUUGUAUCACAUACAACCUUUCCUUACGAAAACUGGUAAGGAAACUCGUUUUGGCAUCCAUCUGCCAGAUUUCAUAAAUGCAGCUAAUGCUAAUAUGAUUCCGACAGACUUAAGCAUCACCACAGAUGAGAAAAUCUCAUCGUAGUCAACUCCUUGAACUUGUGAAAACUCUUCGCCACAAGUCGAGCUUCAUAGACAGUGACAUUACCGUCCACGUCCGUCUUCUUCUUAAAGAUCCAUUUAUCUCAAUGGCUUGCCGAUCAUCGGGCAAGUCCACCAAAGUCCAUGCUUUGUUUUGAUACAUGGAUCCUAUCUCGGAUUUCAUGGCUUCUAACCAUUUGUCGGAAUAUGGGCCCACCAUUGCUUCUCCAUAGCUCGUAGAUUCAUUGUUGUCUAGCAACAUGACCUUCAAGACAGGAUUACUGUACCACUCUGAAGUAGUACGCAUCCUUGUCACCCUACGAGGUACGGUAGUGACUUGAUACGAAACUUCAUGAUCACUAUCAUAAGCUUCUACUUCAAUUGGUGUAGGCGCCACGGGAAGAACUUCCUGUGCCCUGCUACACACUAGUUGAAGUGACGGUUCAAUAACCUCAUCAAGUCUCCACCAUCCUCCCACUCAAUUCUUUCGAGAGAAACUUUUCCUCGAGAAAGGACCUGAUUCUAGAAACAAUCCAUUUUGCUUCUGGAACUGAGACUGGAGGCAUACCCAACUGUUUUGGGUGUCCUAUGAAGAUGCAUUUAUCCGCUUUGGGUUAGAGCUUAUCAGCCUGAAAUUUUUUCACAUAAGCGUCGCAGCCCCAAACUUUCAAGAAACGACAACUUAGGUUUCUCCAAACCAUAGUUCAAACUAUGUCAUCUCAACGGAAUUAUGUGGUGCCCUAUUAAAGUGAGUGCGGUUGUCUCUAAUGCCUAACCCAUGAAUGAUAGUGGUAAUUCGAUAAGAGACAUCAUGGUACGCACCAUAUCCAAUAGGGUGCAACUAUGAUGUUCGGACACACCAUCACACUAUGGUGUUCCAGGCGGUAUUAAUUGUGAAACAAUUUCCACAAUGUCUUAAUUGCGUGCCAAAGCUCGUAACUCAGAUACUCAUCUCUAUGAUCAUAUCAUAGACAUUUUAUCCUCUUGUCACGAUGAUCUUCAACCUCACUCUGAAAUUACUUGAACCUUUCAAUAAUUCAGAUUUGUGUUUCAUCAAGUAAACAUACUCAGAAUCUACUCAAAUCAUCUGUGAAGUAAGAACAUAACGAUAUCCACUGCAUGCCUCAACACUCACAAGACUGCACACAUCAAAAUGUAUUACUUCCAACAAGUUGCUUUCUUGUUCCAUUUUACCGAAAACGAGGCUUUCAUUCAUCUUGCCCAAGUGGUAUGAUUUGCAUGUCUCAAGUGAUUCAAAAUCAAGUGAGUCCAAACGGUCCAUUUGCAUGGAGUUUCUUCAUGCAUAUACACCAAUAGACAUGGUUCGCAUGUCUCAAACUUUUCAAAAACGAGUGAGUCCAAAGAUCCAUCAACAUGGAGCUUCUUCAUGCGUUUUAUACCAAUAUGACUUACAUGGCAGUGCCACAAGUAGGUGGUACUAUCAUUACUAUCUUAUAUCUUUUGGCAUGAACAUGUGUAUCACUACGAUCGAGAUUCAAUAAACCAUUCAUUUUAGGUGCAUGACCAUUGAAGGUAUUAUUCAAAUAAACAGAGUAACCAUUAUUCUUCUUAAAUGAAUAACCGUAUUGCAAUAAACAUAAUCCAAUCAUGUCUAUGCUCAACGCAAACACCAAAUAACAAUUAUUUAGGUUUAACACCAAUCUCGAUGGUAGAGAGAGCGUGCGAUGCUUGAUCACAUCAACCUUGGAAACACUUCCAACACAUAUCGUCACCUCGCCUUUAGCUAGUCUCCGUUUAUUUUGUAGCCUUUUAUUUCGAGUUACUAACAUUUAGCAACCGAACCGGUAUCUAUUACCAUGGUGCUACUAGGAGUACUAGUAGAGUACACAUUAAUAUAAUGUAUAUCCAAUAUACUUCUAUCGACCUUGCCUGCCUUCUUAUCUACCAAGUAUCUAGGGUAAUUCCGCUCCAGUGACCGUUCCCCUUAUUACAGAAACACUUAGUCUCGGGUUUGGGUUCAACCUUGGGUUACUUCACUAGAGCAGCAGCUGAUUUGCCAUUUCAUGAAGUAUCCCUUCUUGCCCUUGCCCUUCUUGAAACUAGUGGUUUCACUAACCAUCAACAAUUGAUGUUCCUUCUUGAUUUCUACUUUCGCGGUGUCAAACAUCACGAAUAUUUCAAGGAUCAUCAUAUCUAUCCCUGAUAUGUUAUAGUUCAUCACGAAGCUCUAGCAGCUUGGUGGCAAUCACUUUGGAGAAACAUCACUAUCUCAUCUGGAAGAUCAACUCCCACUCGAUUCAAGUGAUUGUUGUACUCAGACAAUCCGAGCACAAGCUCAACGAUUGAGAAUUCCUCCCUUACUUUGCAGGCUAAGAAAAUCGUCGGAGGUCUUAUACCUCUUGACGUAGGCACGAGCCUGAAAUCCCAAUUUCAGUCCUCGAAACAUCUCAUAUGUUCCGCGAUGUUUCAAAAUCAUCUUUGGUGCCUCAACUCUAAACCAUUUAACUGAACUAUCACGUAGUUAUCAAAAUGUGUAUGUCAGAUGUUCGCAACAUCCACAGACGACGUUCGAGGUUCAGCACACUGAGCGGUGCAUUAAGCCUUCUAUGAAGCAACGAGGACAAUCCUCAGUUUACCGACCUAGUCCGCAUAAUCGCUACUAUCAACUUUCAACUAUAUUUUCUCAUAUCUAAACAGUAGAACUAAAGCGCGAGCUAUGACAUAAUUUGCAAAAACCUUUUGACUAUGUUCAGGAUAAUUAAGUUCAUCUAAUGAAUUCCCACCCAUAUAGACAUCCCUCUAGUCAUCUAAGUGAUUACAUGAUCCGAGUCAACUAGGCCGUGUCCGAUCAUCACGUGAGACGGACUAGUCAUCAUCGGUGAACAUCUUCAUGUUGAUCGUAUCUACCAUACGACUCAUACUCGACCUUUCGGUCUCUUGUGUUCCGAGGCCAUGUCUGUACAUGCUAGGCUCGUCAAGUCAACCUAAGUGUUUCACGUGUGUAAAUCUGGCUUAGACCCGUUGUAUGUGAACGUUAGAAUCUAUCACACCCGAUCAUCACGUGGUGCUUCGAAACAACGAAUUUUGCAACGGUGCACAGUUAGGGGGAACACUUUCUUGAAAUUUUAAUGAGGGAUCAUCUUAUUUACUACCGUAGUUCUAAGCAAAUAAGAUGCAUAAAUAUGAUAAACAUCACAUGCAAUCAAAAAGUGACAUGAUAUGGCCAAUAUCAUUUUGCUCCUUUUGAUCUCCAUCUUCGGGGCUCCAUGAUCAUCAUCGUCACUGGCAUGACACCAUGAUCUCCAUCAUCAUGAUCUCCAUCAUCGUGUCUCCAUGAAGUUGUCUCGCCAACUAUUACUUCUACUACUAUGGCUAACAGUUUAGCAAUAAAGUAAAGUAAUUACAUGGCGUUGUUCAAUGACACGCAGGUCAUACAAUAAAUUAAGACAACUCCUAUGGCUCCUACCGAUUGUCAUACUCAUCGACAUGCAAGUCGUGAUUCCUAUUACAAGAACAUGAUCAAUCUCAUACAUCACAUAUCAUUCAUCAUAUUCUUUUGGCCAUAUCACAUCACAUAGCAUACCCUGCAAAAACAAGUUAGACGUCCUCUAAUUGUUGUUUACAUGUUUUACGUGGCUGUUAUGGGUUUCUAGCAAGAACGUUUCUUACCUACGCUAAACCACAACGUGAUAUGCCAAUUGCUAUUUACCCUUCAUAAGGACCCUUUUCAUCGAAUCCGAUCCGACUAAAGUGGGAGAGACUGGCACCCGCUAGCCACCUUAUGCAACAAGUGCAUGUCAGUCGGUGGAACCUGUCUCACAUAAGUGUACGUGUAAGGUCGCUCUGGGCCGCUUGAUCCCACAAUACCGUCGAAACAAUAUUGGACUAGUAAUGGUAAGCAUAUUGAACAAAAUCAACGCCCACAACAACUUGUGUUCUACUCGUGCAUAGAAACUACGCAUAGACCUAGCUCAUGAUGCCACUGUUGGGGAACGUAGCAAAAAUCAAAAAAAAUUCUACACAUCACCAAGAUCAAUCUAUGGAGUAAUCUAGCAACGAGGGAAGGAGAGUGCAUCUACAUACCCUUGUAGAUCGCUAAGCGGAAGCAUUCAAGUGAACAAGGUUGAUGGAGUCGUACUCGCCGUGAUCCAAAUCACCGAUGAUCCUAGUGCCGAACGGAUGGCACCUCCGCGUUCAACACACAUGCAGCCCGGUGACGUCUCCCAUGCCUUGAUCCAGCAAGGAGAGAGGGAGAGGUUGGGGAAGACUCCGUCCGGCAGCAGCACGAUGGCGUGGUGGUGGUGGAGGAGCGUGGCACUCCAGCAGGGCUUCGCCAAGCACUGCGAGAGACGAGGAGGAAGAGAGGUAGGGCUGCGCCAAGAGGAAGAUCAAAUCAUGUGUUGGCAGCCCCAAAGACCUCAACUAUAUAUAGGGGAGAGGGAGGGGCUGUGCCCCCUCUAGGGUUCCCACCCCAAGGGGUGCGGCAGCCCCUAGAUCCCAUCUAGGGUGCGGCCAAGGGGGGGAGAGGGGAAACUUGCCCCCCAAGUAAGGUGGAGGCGCCCCCUCCCCAAACCCUAGGCGCCUUGGGCCCUGGUGGGGGGGGGGCACCAGCCCACCAGGGGCUGGUCCCCUCCCACACUUGGCCCAUGCAGCCCUCUGGGGCCGGUGGCCCCACCUGGUGGACCCCCGGGACCCUUCCGGUGGUCCCGGUACGUUACCGAUAGCACCCGAAACUUUUCCGGUGACCAAAACAGGACUUCCCAUAUAUAAAUCUUUACCUCCGGACCAUUUCGGAACUCCUCGUGACGUCCGAGAUCUCACCCGGGACUCCGAACAACAUUCAGUAACCACAUACAUCUAUUCCCUAUAACCCUAGCGUCAUCGAACCUUAAGUGUGUAGACCCUACGGGUUCGGGAGACACGCAGACAUGACCGAGACAACUCUCCGGCCAAUAACCAACAGAGGGAUCUGGAUACCCAUGUUGGAUCCUGCAUGUUCCACGAUGAUCUCAUCGGAUGAACCACGAUGUCGAGGAUUCAAUCAAUCCCGUAUUCAAUUCCCUUUGUCUAGCGGUAUGGUACUUGCCCGAGAUUUGAUCGUCGGUAUCCCGAUACCUUGUUCAAUCUUGUUACCGGCAAGUCUCUUUACUCGUUCCGUAACACAUCAUCCCGUGAUCAACCCCUUGGUCACAUUGUGCACAUUAUGAUGAUGUCCUACCGAGUGGGCCCAGAGAUACCUCUCCGUCACACGGAGUGACAAAUCCCAGUCUCGAUUCGUGCCAACCCAACAGACACUUUCGGAGAUGCCCAUAGUGCACCUUUAUAGCCACCUAGUUACGUUGUGACAUUUGGUACACCCAAAGCAUUCCUACGGUAUCCGGGAGUUGCACAAUCUCAUGGUCUAAGGAAAUGAUACUUGACAUUAGAAAAGCUUUAGCAUACGAACUACACGAUCUCUGUGCUAGGCUUAGGAUAGGGUCUUGUCCAUCACAUCAUUCUCCUAAUGAUGUGAUCCCUUUAUCAACGACAUCCAAUGUCCAUGGUCAGGAAAUUGUAACCAUCUAUUGAUCAACGAGCUAGUCAACUAGAGGCUUACUAGGGACAUGGUGUUGUCUAUGUACCCACACAUGUAUAUGAGUUUCCUAUCAAUACAAUUAUAGCAUGGAUAAUAAACGAUUACCAUGAACAAGGAAAUAUAAUAAUAAUAACUAAUUUAUUAUUGCCUCUAGGGCAUAUUUCUAACAAUAUUUGAUAUACAGGUUAUUGAUGUGUGCCUUACUAGUGUUUAUAGUAGCCCCUGAGUAUUUGAUACUUGUUCGGUUGCUAAGAUUAGUAACUCGAAACAGGAGUUACAUAAUAAACAUAGACUAGUUGAAGGGGAAGUGACGAUAGUGUUGGAAGUAGUUCCAAGAUUGAUAUGAUCAUCAUCACACACUCCCUAUAUUUUUGAUAUAAGUGUUAAACCUAAAUAAAUCUUAUUUGGUGUUUGCGUUGAGCAUAAAUAUGAUAAGAUCAUGUUUAUUGCGAUACUAUUAUUCAUCUAAGAUAGAGAAUAAAUUGUUAUUCUGUUUACAUGAAUAAAACCUUCUAUGGUCAUACACCCAAUGGUGAUGGUUUAUUGAAUCUUGAUCAUAGUGAUACACAUAUUCAUAAUGUUGAUGCCAAAAGAUGCAAAGUUAAUAAUGAUAGUGCAGCUUAUUUGUGGCACUGCCGUUUGGGUCAUAUCGGUGUAAAGCGCAUGAAGAAACUCCAUAAAGAUGGAUUUUCGGAAUCACUUGGUUAUGAAUCAUUUGAUGCUUGUGAACCGUGCCUUUUGGGCAAGAUGACUAAAACUCUGUUCUCCGGAACAAUGGAGCGAGCAACUGACUUAUUGGAAAUAAUACAUACUGAUGUAUGCAAUCCAAUGAGUGUUGAGGCUCGCGGUAGGUAUCGUUAUUUUUUGACCUUCACAGAUGAUUUGAGCAGAUAUGGGUAUAUCUACUUGAUGAAACAUCAGUCUGAAAUAGUUGAAAGGUUCAAAGAAUUUCAGAGUGAAGUGGAGAAUCAUCGUAACAAGAAAAUAAAGUUUCUACAAUCUGAUCAUGGAGGAGAAUAUUUGAGUUACGAGUUUGGCCUUCAUUUUUAAACAAUGUGGAAUAGUUUCACAGCUCACGUCACAUGGAACACCACAGCAUAAUGGUGUGUCUGAACGUUGUAACCGCACUUUAUUGGAUAUGGUGCGAUCUAUGAUGUAUCUUACCGAUUUACCACUAUCGUUUUGGGGUUAUGCAUUAGAGAUAGCUGCAUUCACUUUAAAAGGGCGCCAUCUAAAUCCAUUGAGACGACACCGUAUGAACUAUGGUUUAGCAGUAAACCUAAGUUGUCGUUUCUUAAAGUUUGGAGUUGCGAUGCUUAUGUAAAAAAAAGGUUUUCAGCCUGAUAAGCUCGAACCCAAAUUGGAGAAGUGCGUCUUCAUAGAAUACCCAAAGGAAACUGUUGGGUACACCUUCCAUCACAGAUCCGAAGGCAAAAACAUUCGUUUCUAAGAAUGGAUCCUUUAUAGAGAAGGAGUUUCUCUCGAAAGAAGUGAGUGGGAGGAAAGUAGAGCUUGAUAAGGUAAUUUGUACCUUCUCCCAAAUUGGAAAGUAGUUCAUCACAGAAAUCGGUUCCAGUGAUUCCUACACCAAUUAGUGAGGAAGAUAAUGAUGAUGAUCAUGAAACUUCAGAUUAAGUUACUACAAAACCUCGUAGGUCUUCCAAAGUACAGUCCGCACCAGAGUGGUACGGUAAUCCUGUUCUGGAAGUCAUGUUACUAGACCAUGAUGAACCUACAAACUAUGAGGAAGCGAUGAUGAGCCCAGAAAUGGCUUGAGGCCAUGAAAUAUGAGAUGGGAUCCAUGUACGAGAACAAAGUGUGGACUUUGGUGGAGUUGCCCGAUGAUCCGCAAGCCAUAUUGUAUAAAUGGAUCUUCAAGUGGAAGACAGACGCUGAUAGUAGUGUUACUAUCUACAAAUCUCGACUUGUCGCAAAAAGGUUUUCGACAAGUUCAAGGUGUUGACUACAAUGAGAUUUUCUCAGCUGUAGCGAUGCUUAAGUCUGUCCGAAUCAUGUUAGCAAUUGCCACAUUUUAUGAAAUCUGGCAAAUGAAUGUCAAAACUGCAUUCCUUAAUGGUUUUCUUAAAGAAGAUUUGUAUACGAUGCAACUAGAAGGUUUUAUCAAUCCUAAAGGUGCUAACAAAAUGUGCAAGCUCCAGCGAUCCAUCUAUGGACUGGUGCAAGCAUCUCAGAGUUGGAAUAUACGCUUUGACAAGUUGAUCAAGGCAUAUAGUUUUAUACAGACUUGCGGUGAAGCCUGUAUUUACAAUAAAGUGAGUGGGAGCACUACCGCAUUUCUGAUAAAUAUAUGUGAGUAACAUAUUGUUGAUCAGAAAUGAUGUAGAAUUUUUCUGGAAAGCAUAAAGGAGUAUUUGAAAGGAGUUCUUUAAAAGAAAGACCUCAGUAAAGCUACUUACAUAUUGAGCAUCAAGAUCUAUUGAGAUAGAUCAAGACGCUUGAUAAGUUUUUCAAUAACUACAUACCUUGUCAAGAUUUUGAAGUAGUUCAAAAUGGAACAGUCAAAGAAAGAGUUCUUGCCUGUGUUGCAAAGGUGUGAAAUUGAGUAAGACUCAAAUCCUGACCAUGGCAGAAAAUAGAAAAGAGAAUGAAAGUCAUUCCCUAUGCCUUAGUCAUAGGUUCUAUAAAGUAUGCUAUGCUAUGUACCAGACCUAUUGUAUACCUUGCUCUGAAUUUGGCAAGGGAGUACAAUAGUGAUCUAGGAGUAGAUCACUGGACAUUGGUCAAGAAUAUCCUUAGUGAGGACUAAGGAAAUAUUUCUCGACUAUAGAGGUGAUAAAAGAGCCCAUCGUAAAAAGUUACAUCGGUGCAAGCUUUUACACCGAUCCAGAUGACUCUAAGUCUCAAUCUGGAUACAUAUUGAAAGUGGGAGCAAUUAGCUAGAGUAGCUCCGUGCAGAGCAUUGUAGACAUAGAAUAUUUGAAAGUUACAUACGACUCUGAAUGUGACAGACCCGUUGACUAAGCUUCUCUCACGAGUAAAACAUGAUCACACCUUAGUACUCUUUGGGUGUUAAUCACAUAGCGAUGUGAACUAGAUUAUUGACUCUAGUAAACCCUUUGGGUGUUGGUCACAUGACGAUGUGAACUAUGGGUGUUAAUCGUAUACAGAUAUGAAUAUUGAUGUUAAAUCACAUGGUGAUGUGAACUAGAUUAUUGACUCUAGUGCAAGUGGGAGACUGAAGGACAUAUGCCCUAGAGGCAAUAAUAAAGUUAUUAUUUAUUUCCUUAUAUCAUGAUAAAUGUUUAUUAUUCAUGCUAGAAUUGUAUUAACCGAAAACAUAAUACAUGUGUGAAUACAUAGACAAACUUAAUGUCACUAGUAUGCAUCUACCUGACUAGCUCAUUAAUCAAAGAUGGUUAUGUUUCCUAACCAUAGACAUGAGUUGUCAUUUGAUUAAUGGGAUCACAUCAUUAGUAGAAUGAUGUGAUUGACAUGACCCAUUCCGUUAGCUUAGCACUUGAUCGUUUAGUAUGUUGCUAUUGCUUUCUUCAUGACUUAUACAUGUUCCUACAACUAUGAGAUUAUGCAACUCCCGUUUACCGGAGGAACACUUUGUGUGCUACCAAACGUCACAACGUAGCUGGGUGAUUAUAAAGGAGCUCUACAGGUGUCUCCAAAGGUACAUGUUGAGUUGGCAUAUUUCGAGAUUAGGUUUUGUCACUCCGAUUGUCGGAGAGGUAUCUUUGGGCCCUCUCGGUAAUGCACAUCACUAUAAGCCUUGCAAGCAAUGUAGCUAAUGAGUUAGUUACGGAAUGAUGCAUUACAUUACGAGUAAAGAGACUUGCCGGUAACAAGAUUGAACUAGGUAUUGGGAUACCGACGAUCGAAUCUCGGGCAAGUAACAUACCGAUGACAAAGGGAACGACGUAUGUUGUUAUGCGGUUUGAUCGAUAAAGACCUUCGUAGAAUAUGUAGGAGCCAAUAUGGGCAUCUAGGUUCCGCUAUUGGUUAUUGACCAGAGAGAUGUCUCGGUCAUGUCUACAUAGUUCUCGAACCCGUAGGGUCCGCACGCUUAACGUUCGUUGACGAUAUAGUAUUAUAUGAGUUAUGUAUGUUGGUAACCAAAUGUUGUUCGGAGUCCCGGAUGAGAUCACGGACAUGACGAGGAACUCCGAAAUGGUUCGGAGAUAAAGUUUGAUACAUGGGAUAAUAGUGUUUGAUCUCCGGAAGGGUUCCGGAAUUCACCGGAAGGGGUUCCGGAUGUUUUCUGAAAUGUUUGGGUACGAGAACGCAUUAUUUGGGCCAAAGGGGAAAGCCCACGAGGCUUUUGGAAAGUGCAAAAGGAAGUUUUGCGGAGACCAAAGGCUAGACGCCAGGAACCCUGGCGUCUAGGGGGUAGACGCCGGGAACCCUGGUGUCUAGCCCUGGAGUCCGUGUAGGACUCUUGCCUUUCGGGCAAAACCGACUUUGAGGAGGCUUUUACUCCAAGUUUCGACCUCAGGGCUCAACAUAUAAAUAUAGGGGCAGGGCUAGCACCAAAGACACAUCAAGAAAUACCAGGCCGUGUGCCGGCAACCCCGUCCCCUCUAGUUUAUCCUCCGUAAUAGUUUCCGUAGUGCUUAGGCGAAGCCCUGCGGAGAUUGUUCUUCACCAACACUGUCACCACGCCGUCGUGCUGCCGAAACUCAUCUACUACUUCGCCCGUCUUGCUGGAUCGAGAAGGCGAGGACGUCAUCGAGCUGAACGUGUGCAGAACUCGAAGGUGCCGUGCAUUCGGUACUUGGAUCGGUCGAAUCGUGAAGACGUACGACUACAUCAACCGCGUUGAUAAACGCUUCCGCUUAGCGAUCUUCAAGGGUAUGAAGAUACACUCUCCCUCUUGUUGCUAUGCAUAACCAUGAUCUUGAGUGGGCGUAGGAAAUUUUUGAAAUUACUAUGUUCGUCAACACGGCGGCUGGUGGCGGGGAUGGGAAUACACGUGCCUCCGCUUUGGUUAGUAGUUUAGACUAGGUUUUUUUAGUCCUCAUAGGCGCGGUGCUCGGGAGGAUAGCGGCGUUUCUUCUUCAAGUUUGUCUGCCGGGCUCCGAUCCUUCUCCUGUUCAUACAUCUGGACUUUGUCAACGGAGUUCCGGCGUAGAUUCACGUUUUCUUCUUGGGAUACUGAGGUUAGUGUUUCUCGUCAUGUGACGAGAUUUGGUGCUUGGUGCUUCAGAUCUAUUCAAGAGUUCAACGACGAUGACUAUGGCUCCAGGGCGCUGGUUCUUAGGGCCCCAUGCGCGAAGACUUCCCAGCUGUCAUCGACAAGGUCAAGCUGGGUCCGAUAGAGGAGUGGUGGCAACGGCUCGUUGCCGGCUCGUUCUCAUGGUGAUAGUGGUCGUCCGGUGGUUUCGGAAUCUCAUUGUAGUUUUUAUUAUGUUCGUGCUUUCUACUUCCAGUGAACUUUGAUAAUGAUCUGGAUCAUUCCCCCCCAAAAAAUGCAUACGAAAUGCUACUUAUAUUCUAUAGAUAUUUGCUAUAUAACAAUCAUAGAUAAUAAAUCAUAGCAUGUAUUUUCAGCUUCCAUUUCUAUAUCCAAAUUCCAAACAACCAAACAUCAAAAUGCAUUGUAAUUCAAUCCUACACCAAUGCGCGAGAUAUCAUCUACUCAAGACACUGACACAUGAGUAACUCCAUUAUUGGAUGUCACCUGUAGGCAUCAGCCAACCAGACCAGCCGUCGAAUCGACGAUCUUUUGGGCUAAAGCGACGCGCCAUUUUUGUCCGGAUGAUCCAACACGAAAGUAAACACCUGAUAAUAUACGCAUCGGUCGCUGCCUAGGCCGCACCCACGUCAAUUCUGCUCUCACGCCUGCAUGUGGUAGACUGGUAGUAUCUAAUUAUCCUCGACAAGUUUACAGCAUGCAUCACGUGCUCUGUACACAGCGCGCUGUGCAAAUUGCGGCCGUCCAGUAAGAAAUUAAGAAUCCGAGGCCGGUCAGCUCGUCCUGUAAUUAUAUAGCCCCUCCUUUGCUGUCACGAGGUGCCUUCAUCACAAAGGGCAACGUUUCGCCCGUGCCUCUAUUCUUUCACCGUUAAUUUGUUGUUUUCAUUAUUACUUUGACAGCGUACUCGACGUGCAGGGCUAUUUUUUUUCUUUAGCAGACACGAGUUUUUUUAUAGCAAUGCUUGAUGCAUGACAUUUUAUACCCGAUGGAUGUCCAACGAGUUUUUUUUUUGCGGGGUACAACGAGUUGUAGUAGCCACCCAUCAGAGUAUGUAUGCGGCUCACAACCGUUGAUUAGAGUGCCGUGUGUAUCAUCAGGCAGAAAAGUGUCGUGUGCAUAGUCAUUCCGAAUUUUUUUUCUAUUUGCCGGACUGGUCAUCGCAGCGAGACGUUAGUUUUCCACCUAAAAACCAGACAGCCUUAACACAUGAUGAAUCUGUUGUUCCAAGCAAUUUUAAAUGCAAAUUUGACAUCACAAAUCUUUAGACAAAGAUGAAAAAGGUUAACCUUUUGGUUUAGUAUUUGUAAAAUGCACACUUCAUAUUGACCUACUCGAAUAUAACUCAAAAGAAAAAAAAUGGGCGUAACAUAAAAUUCCCAAAAAGAUACGGAUAUCUACAAGACGGCAGAUACAGGUCGAUUGAUCUAUCUGCUCACAAUUUUUCUCAUUUCAAAUUGUAAAGUAUACCCAUUACAAACCUCAUGUUUGUGUCGGUCAAAUGUACAUACCAAGAAAACAGCAAAUCUAAGUUUGAACAGAUGAAAAUAUAUUUUGAAACAGAGACCUUGGGUCGUGAUCAGGUAUUGCGAAACUGAUGAAGUGUCCUGUCUAUGUCUAAAUAAUGUAUACAUACAAAAAAAAUAUGCAUAACCAUCAGCGUAUCUCGUCAAAUCCACUAAAACUAGAGUUGAAAACCCCCAGCACUCUUCCGAUUGGUAACUUGAUGAAAUAAUCUUUGUUUAGUAGCCGGAUAAAUAAUUAGGAUUGGUUGAUGAGUGUAACCCCAUGAUACCUUGAUCUGGCAAUGAUCCUCGCACGGAAUUUGUUAGAGUUGUGUCGAAUAUUGUGUACAAGGUAGGUUAUAGUUGGACUUGUAGUUGUAUUGUGUUUAGAUAGGAUAUGGAGUCGUGUCCUAGUAGGACACUUGUAUCCUAGGCCUCUCAUAUAUAGUGGGGGUAGACACACGAUGUAACAUAUGCCAACAUAAUAGCACAGGCGCGCAAAGGGAGCCGGUGGCGUGUGCCGGCGCCCGGGUGGCCAGUGUGCGGUAUUGUGACGGUGUCACGGGGAGGAGCGCCCGUAGUCAGGCCCCGGGGAUGUAGCCAUAUCGGUGAACCUCGUUAACAAAUCUCAGUGUCGUGCCUAGUGUGAUUGCUUGGUCCUCGGAUGAUCAACGGUAUGCCUCAGAUUUAUUUUAACAAGUGGUAUCAUGAGCAAGGUUAUGAAGAGGUUGUGGAUUAUUGAUCUAGAGGUGAAACAUCGUGGAAGAAUUAUCGUCGGCGGUCGUGAGAAUUCAUUGUCGAAGCUAGGGCUAUCGUUUUGAGGAAUUUCCCUCGUGGGAGCUAUCGGUUUGCGGCUGGGUAGACCGAAAAAAAAAA
rnacentral:lncRNA from 1 species